GCCGCUGCCCUCUCCUAAAUCCAGGCCGCCGGCCAAGCUCUAUUACAAAUCCGCUGAGCUCCAACAACCAAAAAACGGGCUGCAGCUCGGGAUUGCAUCCUCGGAGCUUGCAGCCCAGCUGCUGCACCCCUGCUGCCAUGCGAGCUAUGGCCGUGAGGGCUUCCAAACACGCCCUUAGGGUUUGAGGUUUUAGGGAUUCUUCCCCCGUCCAUCGCCGGUCACAUCGCCUCCGGGAUGCAAGCGAGGCUGGUCGCGGUUGCCCACGCAAAGCCCAAGCGGCUGUCGCCCGCCAGCGAGUUCUGGUGAUGGUGGCACUCACUGGGCAUGGAGGGACAUGUGGUCCACUCGCAAUUCGGAGAUGGUGAACAAGGACAUCACCACCAUGAUAUUGUUUCAGUGGCUGAUCAGUUAGAGCUGCUUCCUGAGCUACAGAUAAUCUGACGCAUCAGCAAGAGACUACCUUUUCUUGAUUAGCACAAAUUGGAUAUAGCAGUUUCUGCCAAUAUUGCAACUCCAAUCCAACAACCCAAUAGGAGAAGCGAGGGUAUGCUUAAAGGUGCCUUCUCACCAGUGGAAGUGUCUUCAAAUAACAUUUUAGGUGGGCCUCCAGUUGGGUACAGUAUUCAACACUUCAAGGAGAACACAAGCAGUCUUCAGCUUUCUGCUUGAGAUAAGAAUUGAUGAUAAUACAAACUGCACAGCACUUGCUUCUUCCUAUUGAAGAGCAACCUUCCCUUCCACAUAUCGUGUACAUUUCUGCAACAGGCCCAGCCCCCCGUUUGCAUUGGAUAGUAGUGCGUAGGUAGACAUUCAUCCUGACAAUUGCAAACAGUUCUUCCGUAACGAAAAUGGCUGCACCAUUUUGCCAGCACUUCCUGGCUUCCUGCAAUUUCCUAGCGAUCUUCCUCUUGUUCUUGUUGUUGCACGUAAAUUCUGCUCUGAACUGAAGCUUAUGUGCUCAUAUAUCCACGUUGACACAAUGCCAUGUUUUGGAGGUGGUGGCUAUGAUUGCUUCGAUUGCAUCAACGAUAAAAGUUCACCGGGCUCUUUAACAAGAAGCACUAAAUCACUUGUUGAAUUAUUCUCAGCCAAAACAAUGAAUUAGUAGCUAUUUUCCAAAUAAAGAUCUUUAUUUUCUGAGGAACAUGUGCCUUCCAUACACGACCAGAUGUCACGAGCACCUCUGUUAGCUCUGCUGCAUUGACCACCAUUUUCUUUCAAUAAUUCCACAUUCUCAGCCAGUAUAUAAGCACUUCUCACUGUGAAUAACAUGCUUCUCCGGUUUCCAUGCAAUGUAAUCCCCAGAAGGGUUUGUUGGCAGUCUGAUUGAGAGAAUAGCUUCUGCAUCAUGGGGAUAAAAAAUCUCACGAAUUUGCUGCUCCUUCCAAGAACGUGAGACCGAAUCAAUAGAUCAGCCACUACUUUUAAUCAGUUAGAUUUUUCUGAUUUUCCUCCUUAUGUUUACAUUGGCGAAGUAAUCCAAUUCACAUUACAUACAUUUUUAUGUUACUGUUUUUGAACCAAACAUAUCCUCGCUUUCUUUGUGCGCUGACUCUCCUUUCUGCACACAGGGGCGGGUGAACUCGACAGAUAUGGCGGUUGACAAGUGGGUGACAGUGGUGGAGCACUCAAAGGAGAUGGUGGGCGAGAAGGCGGCGGCGGCGGCUCGAGCGGCCCAUGAGUCGAAGGAGUACAGGAGGUCGCUCGUGGACAUCGGCCUCACUCUGUUGAUCGGCGUCGUAUUCAUGCUCCUGAGUUUCCUCGUGCCGGAGAUAUCCAAGGUGUGGCAGAUUCUGUGUUGGCAGACCACGAUGAUCUCUUUCGCAUGUGCCGUGUUCUUCACCUGGAUCCAUCUGAGGGAUUUCCAUCCCAAGGUGGAGUCAUCUCGGGUUUGAAGAACUGGGAGUGGAGGAGACAAAGGUUGCUGGAAAAUGUUGAACUGAAGCCUUGUCACACAAACGUAUUUGGUUGAUGGACCUUAUUCUGGAAAUGUACAGAAGAAAAAUGAUUCAAAUUUCUUCUUCAGCUGAACAAUCCAUUCAAGAAUCAGUUAGACGUACCGUGAUUAUUCUCCACAAGAGUACUGCAAUGAUAUUGUUGGUGGUGUUCUAAAUUGACCUCUUUUUCUAUUGAAGGAUGGUUCAGCUGCUUUAUUUAUAAGUAAAACUAUAGCAUUAUUUGAUUCAAUGAUGCAGAUUUGUUGUCUUGACUUGGCCUCAUUUUCGACACCCUGUAGUACAGUUCAUUUAUAUGCUGCUGCACUUGGCAAUCUCACACUAGAAUUUUUUCUCAAAAAAAAAAUUAUCGCCACUCGAAAGAAGCAAACAACAAAAAUAAAUGUGGAAAGUAUUGUUUUUUUUACCAAGUAUUGUUGAUUGGAGUCUCUGCAAUUUCUGUGGUUUUGUGCUAAAAUGCCUAAUUCCCCAUGCUUGUUAAUAAAAUGUAAAGCAUAUAAUUUGUUUUUGUUUUUUACAACUUCUGGAUCUGAAUACUGACUUUUAAUUGCAUUGUUUGGCUAAAUCUGUUUCAACUUCAUGAACUCGGCCGCCGCCUAAUCAAGCACGCUGGCGGACGAUGGACUGCAGCAGGGAGAAGGUGCCAGGGGCAGCACCGUCAGCAGCAGCGCUAUUCACCACUGGUCACUCCACCGCCAGCGCCUCAUCCAAUCAGUGCUAGCUCAUCUGCUUGUGCUUUUUCAGAGUAUUCCUUCUAUAAUUCAUUCAUCUGCUCUUUGUUUUUUCUGGUUGAAAUAAGUUUAUAGGCGACUGAAGUUGUACAGCACAAAAUUAGUGGAGUUACAUCAUGAAAUUAGGGAUCACCUGGUUGAAUAAUUAUCUGCUCUUUAUUAUGGAUAAUUGCAGAAUGUAUUACGUACUAUACUCUUGAAAUCACAGUCAUAUAUACUACAGAACAGUAGCUUAGCUUACCCAGUGCGGGGUUAUUUUCUCAACCUGAUCAAGUCUAGAAUUUGUAGAUAGUUGUGUAUUUUGCUCUUAGGAAAGUGAUGGCUGUUACUUCCUCCGAUCUAUAAUAAGUGUCUCGGGUUUAGUACAAAUUUGUACUAGGCUUAGUUUAAAACCGCGACACUUAUUUUGGAUCAGAGGGUGUACAAUUAGAAAACUUGCAAUGGCUAUUUAGUUUAUUAGAACACUUGUGUAUUUUGUCCAAGAACCAAACAUGGGUAAGAAAGGGAAGAUGUUCAGUCUUGUCAGGAGUGUGUUGAGCUCCUCCGAUUCAAACUGGACGCAAGCUUGCUGACAUUAAUUGAAGGUUUUUAUAAAGUGAUAAAUCACACAUCAAUCCUACUCUGUUGUUCCAGUGCAGUUUUCUUGGUCGUGUGAACUUGUAAAACCUCGCAACCUUUUUGUGUUUGAUGAAUUUUGGGUUCCAUGAACAAAGGUAUAUGUGUUUGGCGUUACAUUGGUUCUUUUAUGCAUUGUCUGAUUUGUGCUCAUUACUUGGUCUUCUUCCUCGUCGGUUUGGUGACGAAUCAGCGGUUCGACAACCUGUCUUGCAAGAGGUGUGUCCUCGGACAAAGUCCGUUCAACGAUCUUAAAUUCUCAUCGGUUGCGAUGAGCGACUCACGCGCCUAUUUAAAACCUAUGAGGUUAGUGCAUAUUGUGCAGGUCUAGCCUUCACCCAUUUGAUCACCAGAGACAUGGAGAAAUUUUAAGAUACGGACGACGGACCUUUAGAUUUUUACUUUAAAGAAUCUUGAUGUGAAUUUUAGUUUCAUUAUGGAUCUUUGUUGUCGGUUUUUAUUUCAGUUUUUUUAUUCUUUGUACACUGUUUAUUGAUUCAAUAAAGCCAGAUGUCUCUUAAAAAAACUCAUUCUGAUGUUUUGUUUACUGAUCAAUUCUAAAUUUUAGCAGUAAAAAUGAAGUUCUCCCCGGGGAUUAAGUUAAUGAUGCUUUCCUAAUCUCAAGCUAACUCACAAAUAUAAAGGGAUUUGACAGAAAUUUAAAUCAACUAAAAUUAACUAGUCUUUUUGGUAUUUCCGUGGACCUUAGCAAAAACUUGACAAAAACUUAACUGAAUCUACUGAACUAAUUGAAGAAAAGGACACUAACAGAGCAGAUCAAAGCAGUGACAAAGAGAAAGAUUUGGAUAAAGCAAAGGGUUUUUGGUGAAGGUAGAUGAACUAGGAGAUCUAGAGGAAAGUUGACUGCAAGAUUUGGGCAAGGAGAGAAUUGGGAAUUGGGAAGAAUCGCUCAACAGAUCUAAGAGAUAGCAGCAAGGUUUUAGACAAGGAAAGAUUUCUUGAGGAAAAGAACAUCACAUGGAGAACAUGUUUAGAAUAAGCAACAUGACAUGAAAAAUAACAACACACAUGAACAUUAACUUGACAAAAAGUUCAAAUUUAAACAUGAUCAACACCAAAAAUUCAUGAAAAUAGUUUUAAAAAGGGUACUGAUCAUUUACAACCUCCCAAACGGCAGGCGACCACAGGUCCUAUUUACUUUGAACUUUGAGCAUAUACAGUAUACAUGUAGCCUUGGGUCCCAGAGAAAUCUGGAUAUGGUUCAUGAGAAAGUGUGCUAUACCUUCACAGAGGUUCUUGCUCUUUCUCUUCUUCUUUUUUUCUGAGCAUGAUUUUUUCGAUUCCAACAGUUUCUCGUGAGUUAUGUUUUCUUUUCUUCUCCCAUUACAUGAUGGAUACGAAUUGAUCAUUCGUUUUCCUUUUUGUUUGACAAAUCGUGGUUCCUAACAUUACUAAGAGAGAAUCGUGUAGUGGCAAGGACCACUACACCAUUGCCUCCUUGUCUGAAGAGCGAGAUGAAGAGCCAAAGCAGGUAUCUCUUGCUCGGCGCUAUACGACCAACACUCGUCAAUCAACAUAUCAAUCUGCAACCCCACUUGAUGAUCAAACACCACGCUGCAGACGCUACCGUCGGUGGAGACCGAGGACAGGAAUAAAUCCGUGAAUUUCACUAAAUCCCUAGACAAGUCACUCAAUCGCUUGUGAGCACCAACAAUGGCUUACCUCAAAAUGGAAAUAGUGUAAUGUUUUUGGCUAAGGCAGCAACGAAGAGUCAAGAGGGACGUAGACAGCUGAAAUGUCAACUCCGAAACUAUAGCCUACAAUAUUUGCAAAGUCGUCGCAUUAUUGUUGCUUGUAUGACCAAGACUCGCGCGACUACAUUCCCAGACCAUAAUCGCCUUAUCGCGCCCGUAUUGCAAUUCUUCAGGCCUGAUCAAUCCAUCAUGGAAUGGUCAGCUCCCGCCUGCUCCAUCACUGUCCUGAUCCUUGUGUCCUUCCUGCCGUUGCGAGCGUCCGACGACCGCCUCCUCCCCAGCAAGCCGCUCUCCCCUGGCGCCACCAUCGUCUCGGACGGCGGCGACUUCGCCUUGGGCUUCUUCAGCCCCUCCAACUCCAGCACUACUCCAGCGAAGCUGUACCUCGGCAUAUGGUACAACGGCAUUCCCGAGCUCACCGUGGUGUGGGUCGCGAACCGAGAAACCCCGGCCACCAACACCACCAAUUCCUCCUCCGCGCCCACGCUCUCCCUCACCAACACCUCGAGCCUCGUUCUCUCCGACGGCGGCCGUGUCCUUUGGACGACGACGCCUGAGACCGACGUGGCCGCUGCUCCAGCGACGGCGGUGCUUCUGAACAGCGGCAACCUGGUCCUACGCUCGGCGAACGGCACCACGCUGUGGCAGAGCUUCGACCACCCGACGGACACGCUCCUGCCGGACAUGAAGAUGGCGAUCAAGCAGGGCGCGCGCGCCGCCGGGCAGCGCCUGGUGUCCUGGAAGGCGCCGGGCGACCCCUCGCCCGGCCGCUUCUCCUACGGCGGCGACCCGGCCACGUCCCUCCAGAUAUUCCUGUGGGAGGGCACGCGCCCCGUGUACCGCAGCGCGCCAUGGACCGGGUACCGGGUGAAGAGCGAGUACCAGUUCCAAACGAGCAACACCAGCGCCGUCACCAUCUACCUGGCCGUCGUCGACAACAACGGCGGCGGGGAGAGCUACACGACCUUCAGCGUAUCGGACGGCGCGUGGAAAACAAGGUACGUCCUGGCCUACUCGGGCGAGCUCCAGAUCCGGAGCUGGAACGCCAGCUCGUCGGCGUGGGCCGUGCCGGGCCAGUGGCCCACCUGGGCGUGCGACCGCUACGGCUACUGCGGCCCGAACGGGUACUGCGACGAGACGGCGGCGCCCACCACCCCGGCGUGCAAGUGCCUGGACGGCUUCGAGCCGGCGAGAGGGGAGGAAUGGGACAAUGGGAAUUUCUCGGCGGGGUGCCGCCGCAAGGAGGCGCUGCGGGGUUGCGGUGAUGGCUUCGUGGCGUUGCCGGGGAUGAAGCCGCCGGACGGGUUCGCGCUCGUGGAGGAGGAUAAGUCGCUGGCGGAGUGCGCGGCGGAGUGCAGCAGCAACUGCUCCUGCGUGGCGUACGCGUACGCUAACCUGAGCAGCGGCACGUCCAAGGGGGGUAUAGCAAGGUGCUUGGUGUGGGCCGGGGAGUUGGUUGACACCGGGAAGCUAGGCUCAAGCCCCGCCAGCGACACGCUCUACCUCCGGCUCGCAGGCUUGGACGCAGCACACGGUACCAAUCCAAUCUCUUCCCUCCUCAUUCUCUAUGUUAGUCUUUUUUCUUCUGAUGGUGACUAUUUCUAGUUCUUUUCCUGGGCAAUUAGGAGGGGAGAAAUUUUCUACCUAAAAAUAUUACUCACUCCGUUUCAUAAAGGUUUCAAGAACACGAGUUUAAAAAUAGGGGUAAAGGGCAUAGAUAGUCACUUCAUAAUUAAUCCACAAUCCAGCGGCCAGUCUAAAAGCCCAUAGAUAUCACAAAAGUUCCUCCAAAGAGAGUUUAACCAUUACGGACAAAAAUUGUUGGUUCUUUAUACUCCCUCCGUCCCAUAUUAAGUGACGAAAUAUUACAUGUAUCUAGACGCUUUUUAAAUAUAAAUACAUCCAUAUUGGGCAAAGUUGAGUCACUUAAUAUGAGACGGAGGGAGUAGUAAAAAAACAUAUAUAACUAGGCAGUUACACAUUUGUGAAAUAUGGGCAACUUCCCUUUUAGACAUGUGCAAGUGCGCAAGCGAGCAUGUUCAUGUACAUUUCUACACCCAGAGAUGCACAUAUAAUUGUGUGUCUAGAUAUUAUAUUGUGUCACUUGGUUUAGAGAUAUAAACUCCUCCCUACGAUACAUAAAAUGUGUCGUCCACUUAGUACGAAAUUUGUACUAACAUUCAGUACAAAAUGGGCGAUACUUUUUAUGGAUGGGAGGGAGUAGAUUUUCAAUGGCCUGAAAAUUAGCAAACCUGUUAUUUUAUAAGAAAUGCCCACGGUGCAACUCAAACACAUGCUUUAAACUUGUAAACUGGACCGUUCAUAACACUUCGCUUUUAUGCUAUGGUGCAUGGACAGGUACAAGAUCAAAGAACAAUGAAGUGAAGUUUGGAUUGCCAAUUUUAGGAAUUAGUGUUCUGAUACUGGGGUGCAUUUUUCUUGCAUGGCUGAAUUUCAGAGGUACGUUAAAUUUAUAUUCCUCUAGGAACUGCCUAUUCGACCUUUUUGAAAUAUUUGAGUUUGUAUAUUGUACCCUCGUGCCGCAGAAUAUUCUAAACCCCGUGAAUUUGCAAAUUCGCACCAGAGCCUAUUUAAGCAAUGUAGUCAUUGCAAUUAAUAGAUAAGACAAUAAUUCCACAUGUUAGUGAUGUCUGCUUCUUCUUCACACCCCCUCAUCCGGCUCCCCCCUCAUCUUCUACUGGGUAGAUUUCUGUUAACAAUCUAAGACAUGGCUCUCUCGUUGCUUGACCAUGGUAUCCUUGGUGGGGGUCUAGUAUAGUAAACUAGUAACACUAAUAUGCCAUGGUGGUUUUUGGUUAUGUGAAUUUACAACGGGUAUACAGUGGACAAACACUAGCAGUUAAAUCUGUGAAAUAAAAUCUUAAUUUUUUUAUCUUAUUUGUUAUGUGUAUGAUAUACUCAUGGAUGUCGGUUACUGAAGCAGGCAAGAAGAGAAACCAGGGAAAGCACAAGAAGGUAACAGUGGAUGGUUCAAGUGAACUUGAAUUUCCACUUGUAAGAUUUGAGGAAGUUGCCCUAGCAACACAAAAUUUCUCUGAAAAAUGUAUGAUUGGGCAGGGAGGCUUUGGUAAAGUUUAUAAGGUAAUUUGUUCUAUAGUAGUAUCCUCUUAUUCAUUCUAAAUCUGUUUAAGUAACUUAAUUGACUUGUUCAUAUGAAAACCAAAAUGCAUGUUUUUCCUUAACAUUUUGAAGGGAACACUAGGUGGUCAACAGAUUGCCGUCAAGAGGCUAAGUAGGGACUCUCAACAAGGGACAAAUGAGUUUACGAAUGAAGUAAUUCUCAUUGCCAAAUUGCAACACAAAAAUUUGGUUCGACUCCUUGGAUGCUGUGGCGAGGCAGAUGAAAAAUUGUUGAUUUAUGAGUACUUGCCUAAUAAAAGCUUAGAUGCCACCCUUUUCGGUAUAUUCCAUCAACACCACCAGAAUUUCCUAAAAUAACUCAACAUGUUCUCUUACAUAUUUUCUUUUGAUAGAUGAUUCAAGAAAACACUUGCUGGUUGGGUGACUCGGUUAAUAUAAUCAAGGGAGUGGCAAGGGGGUUGCUUUAUCUCCGCCAAGAUUCAAGGUUGACCAUUAUUCACAGAGAUCUCAAAGCUGGAAAUGUUUUGCUAGAUGCAGAGAUGAAACCCAAGAUAACCGAUUUUGGCAUGGCAAGGAUCUUUGGUGAUAACCAGGAAAAUGCAAAUACGCAAUGUGUUGUCGGAACAUAGUGAGUAAUUAUUUGAACCAUUAACUUGUAUUAACUCAUGGUUAAAUUCAAACCCCAUUCCCCUAACUGUUGCAAGUGAAAUAAUCAAGCAGUGGCUACAUGGCUCCCGAGUAUGCAAUGGAAGGUGUCUUCUCUACCAAGUCAGACGUCUAUAGCUUUGGUGUGUUACUAUUAGAGGUUGUAACCGGCAAAAAGAGAAGCUCAGGCAGUCACACCAUGGGCUUUCCUAGCCUCAUAAUCUAUGUGAGUAAAUACUCCCUCCGUCCCAUAUUAAGUGACUUUUUAUUACAUGUAUCUAGACGCUUUUUAGGUAUAGAUACAUCCAUAUUUGAACAAAUUUGAGUCACUUAAUAUGGGACGGAGGGAGUACAUGUUUUAUUUUAAGUGCCAAAUUAAAGAAAGAAAGUAAGCCAUGUUUCUGAAAGAAAAGGGUUAUUUUCUACAACUCAUAGAGGGCGUUUCAUAUUGUUUCAGUCGUGGAAUAUGUGGAAGGAAGGGAAGGCAAAGGAGUUGGUUGACUCAUCUAUCAUGGACACCAGUUUAAUGGAUGAAGUCUUUCUUUGCAUCCAUGUGUGUCCAGGAAAACCCAGAUGAUAGGCCGCAUAUGUCAUCUGUUGUGUUCGUCCUGGAGAACGGAAGCACCACGCUUCCAACCCCCGAUCUUCCCGCCUACUAUGCACAACAACGCAUUGACUUGGAGCAAAUUAGAAACGAUAUUCUGAACUCCGUGAAUACUUUAACUCUUACCAAUAUUGAAGGGCGAUGAAAUAAUUUGUCUAAAGAUGGGCUAGCCCACGUGUAUGAGCUUGUAGUCUAGUGGUGGAGUGAAAUACUGAAAUAUUUCCUUCCUAUCCAGAGUACAAAAGAGUUGUUGUACUGAAUCUUCGACACUUGUUAUGGAUCGUAUGACAUCAGUUCAGAAAUGGUUGUUCAGUCAUCACUUAAGUUUCAGCAGUGACCUGCAUGCAACACAGCAAACUACGUUUAUCAUGUGCCUCUGGAUUUAUUUAUUUAUUUAUUUUUUUUUAUUUUUUUGCAGGGAUGUGCCUCUAGAUGUUCAUGCUUAAUAACAUGGGUAUUAAACUAGCUGAGAGCUCAGAACUAGAACAAUUGAGGGGCUUGAGGAAACAUCGAAGGAGCACGCUAUAAUCAAAGCACAUAAAUUUCUGCACUUUACUUUUUGCCUCUUACACAAUGCCAAGCAAAGAGCACACGCAGGGAGACUGGAGUGGAGAGGCACGAAGGCAGAGUUAAGAUACCUAACUUGGCAUCUGCUUAGUCUAAAUAAGCAUCAGUGCUUAACAAAAACCGGUUAAUUUUUUUAAGCACCCACCUAGGCAUCUUGCAUUGUACAUGCUCUUAGGGGGUUGGACCACCCUGAGAUUUUCUAAUCAUUUAUAUAACACGGUUAAAAAAAUUCAAAACAUCAAAAUAACUAAAUUAUAUGAAUAUUUUCACUGUUAGACCACCGCGGGGCGCGGGCGAGGGAAACAGAAUGAAGGGAAUGUCGAAGAUGGGCGACGUACAUACAGGUCCGAAGAAGAAGAGCAACAUACAUCAAAUAAAUACACGAGCAGAGUAAUCUAUAAACUCAGAGCAAAUGAAUUUUUGUCAAAGAAUUUAAAAACUCACACAAAAAAUUCUAAAUUUGGAUUAGUGAUACAAAUUAGUUCAAAUAUGGUUCAAAGAGGCUCACUUGGGACCGCAGCUUCUAGCUAGGUUUUCUCAUCUUGCAAAAUCACCACCGUGGAUAAAUCUCCUCCUGAUCGAAUCUCCCGAAUUGGUGACGGUGUUGUUUAAUCAAACUAGAGCACGGCGUCGAGACCGCACAUUAAUAUCUAAAUUUCUCAUCGGUCAUCGGUUGACGCACUCAACCAUGUCGGCCGCCGUCAAGACUGCGGGCGAGCAGUGAUCUGAUCGGUGUACCGUUAUCUUCGCGCCGAAGCAACCACCAAAGUUGAGGCCAUGGACGUGAGGCGUUUACUCGAUGUCCAUGUUGAUGUAGAGUUGCUUGACAUUUCCGUCCUAGUUCUAGUUCUAGAGUUAACUGAGGAUGCUUCUCUUGACGUUAGGCAGCGGGCCCUCAUGAACGACGAGGUGGAUAUAGGCCUCGAGGUCGUGGCAGCAUGAGGCAUCGGCAUCCAACCUAAGGUAUGUCGAUGCCAUGUUGUCAGCCUGAGCUCGCGGCCCAUGUUUGCGUAUCACAGCCUGUCGACAUCGGGAAAGAAGCAGCACAGGAAGACAUCAUGCACAUUCACCACAGGAAGGAUCCGCGCGCCUCCGCACGUUAUAUGGUCACCUACCUACCGCACGUUGUUGGCCACCUGCCUGCCAUGCUACUAAGAGCAAGAUUAAUAAUACAAACAUGUAUAAUGCUGGCUAUUAGCCCAUCAAUAGAAAACAUGUAUAAUAGUUAGCUAUAAGUAUGCACUAUUUUAUGAAUACAUUGCCCGCAUCUCACUCUCAUAGGAAGCCUAGGGGCAUGUGUGAUGCCACCGGCUGUUAGCUAGCAGCCCGCUUCUCUCCUCUCUUCCAUUCAACUCAACAAAAAUAUAGUAUUUAAAAGCUUACAACCUGCCCACGUAACCAUAUUGUACUUGCUCUAAGCUCUCGACUUGCUAUGGUUAGGGAAAUUGAGUACGAAAGAGCGUAUGCAUUCGAGUGAUCGUGUCGGAAAGAUGCAAUCAAUAUCAGCGAUCAUACGACUUGCGAAAGGAAACAAACACAUCCCCAUAUGUGGAGGAGGCCAAGGGUCUGUUUGGAUUGAGCCCCAGAUAGCCCUACCAAAAAAUUGGCAAGCUAUACUUGUUUGGUUUGCAGCCCUAGUGGAGCACCAAUUUUUUGGAAAACGAUUAGGCCACUAUUUGGUUUGCUUACAAGUACAGUUUCUGCAACUUUCAGUUCUUGAACGAGCAGAGAAGAACACCUCAAUCAAUUUAGAUCACUGAAGCAUGUAUAACCUGCUCCAAAUUCUCUUGCACUGGAGCAUCUGCACACCACUAGGAGCAGUACGCCUCCAUCGAUUUAGAAAUAUGUUGACCACAUCGUCGGGAUUUUGAGUUCUUCUCCAACUCCGGCCAACGCCCGCCGCAUCGAUUUCUUUGUUUUCCGGCGGGGUAAAGAUGGAUUCCUUGGGCAUCUAAAAUCAAAGACACAUAAUCUUCAUUUCCCAUCGAUCAAUUUUGAGUUUUGGACCCUGUAGCAUCACUCACGGGGAUGUUGCCGCCGGCCGCCACUUUCGCUGGCCGUAGUUUGCACAGCCGGACAUGCUGAUGCCACCAACGUAUUCCUGGAGUUCCUCUGAUUCCGUUUUGUGCUUAUCCGUCAUCCCCGAUUGCCCCAGAAAAAAACGGGAAAACGCAAGACAUGCAAGAUUAGCGAGAGGUUACGACGAGAAAGAGAGGAGAAUGCGGCUGCCAAAUAUUUGGCGGAGGAUUUCUACGCCCUGGACUCGCCCGCGAGUUGGUGAAAAAGCACGGGCGCGCUCGGGCGAGAGUUGGCUCACCAAAUUAUCGGUCACAGUCCAAACAACGGCCAAAUGUCACGGGCGUACCAAUUUUUUGGUAAGGCUUGCGUUGGCCAUAAACCAAACGUACCCCAAGUACACAACAAAAUACUGAAUUGUGGGAGUAUAUGGGCUGGAGUAAUGGGUCGAUUAUUAAAAUUUUGGACUGAAUUGUGGGAGUAUAUGGGCUGGAGUAAUACAUCAGUUACAGAUGUGUGGACGUGUGGUUUUAUGCAUCAAUGGAGAGUUUGAAGAAAAAAAAAAUAUUACAAGUCUGGAGGACUUAGCCACAUGGAAGAAUAAUUGAACCCCAUCAUGUAGUAUCCUGUCCUCUUCACACCAUCACCGAUACUUCGGUCUUCCCUGCAAUACAUACGGUCACCACUGCCCGAUGUCAGCGAGUAGAUCUGGUCGCGCGGCAACUCCUUCUCCUUAUUAGAGAAGGUGGGGCGAGAGUAGUAGAUGUGGUUUCUCUCCAAACCGCGUCGUUGGACGCCCAACGGCACGUGCACCGCCUUAGACCGCAGCAGCCCCCAAAACAAGGCAUAGUUGUCGAAGCUCGUAACCUCUUCCCAUUUGCAGUCGCCGGAGUCAGCAUCGACAAGCUUGAAGACCUUAAAGAAGGCUUCGCGGUUAGGCAGCCACCGGGUCCUCACAGCCAUGGACAGUUUACCCUGUAGCUCGAAGAUGUGGCCGGCGUAUUGCACGGGUUCAUCCCGCCUGGUGGGGCCAUCACGCCUUUGAAUGGCCAGCACGUGUGUGGCUGUGACCACCGGCGAGCCAUCUUCCUCCCAGCCGAUUGUAAACUUGAUGAGCUCCUCAUCCGGUGCAAGAAGUGUUGGAAUUUUGGGUUAGGCCCAAGGUCCAAUCUGAAAUUAAUUCCUGAAAAAUCUCAAAAGCCCAUUCAUGGAGUGGAAUGAGGAAGUGGGAAUAGUCCCACCUAGCUAGUUUAGGAGAGUUGGAUCAAUAUAUAAGAUAUGUUGGUUCUAACCUCUUGAACAAGUGAGCAAGGUAAAUCCCCACGCGCGCUCAUCCUCCUCCUCCUCCGCUCGCCUCGCCCCACGCCACGCCACGAGUUUCGUGGAUCGAUUUGGUCGGUGCGGUGCAGGGUCGUGCUUAUCUUGUUUUCCAUCCAGUCGACUGCGUGCAUAGAUCGUCGGGAGAGCAGGCCUCUGGAACCCCGACCUUCGAGAUCCUGUCCGAGAGACUGUCGAUAAGGUUUUUGGGAAGCGUUCUCAUGCGACUGCUCGCUUCUUCACGUCCCUGUUUCAUCGGCAUCUUCAUCACCAAUGGCCGAUGACCUCGGAGAUCCUGCGGCUCAGACUGCCGCUCUAGCUCAGCAGCAGCAGGCUGCCCAACUCCAAGCCCAGGCAAUUGCUGCUGCACAGGCGCUGGCCGCUGCCCAGGAGGUAGUCAAGACUGCUGCUGCUGCCGGCAUGAACAUCGACGCCGCCGGACUCGUCACCGACCUCAACAAACAAACACAAGAAAAGAGUACAACACUGUACGUCUGCUCUUUCUUGUUGAUUUUGAUUAGUAGUUCUAUUAUUCAUGUCGUGAAAUUAGAUGAGUUUUAUUAAUGUGCGUUGCUAUUUAAUUUGUCUAGUUUGCAUGAUAUAAUAUGCUACAUGUUUUACACAUUGUUUUUCUGGAUUAAAUAUUCAUCGAAAUUACCUAAUUAUUCAACAAUCCAAAAACCUUAUUCGUGUAGCCAAUUUUCGAUGUCUCAAUUUGCUGUCGCAUUGAAACCACCUGUGUUUACUGGACUGCACUUUAAGAGGUGGCAGUAUAAAUGUCAUAUGUGGCUCGUGGCUAUGGGCGCAUGGUGGGCGGUACAACACGGGAAGACUCAAACAAUUGCUCCUCAACAGUUGUAUGUUGAGGCUUGUGUUGUAGUCGUCGGUGUGAUCUGUAGUAUGCUGGGAGAUAAGCUCGUUGAUGCUUAUCUACACUAUCAGGAUGCCAAAGAGUUGUGGGAUGCGCUCGAUGCUAAGUUUGGCGCAUCUGACGCCGGCAGUGAGCUGUACAUCAUGGAGCAGUUCUUUGACUAUAAGAUGGUUGCAAACCGAUCUGUAGUGGAACAAGCUCAUGGGUUACUGACUAUGGCUAAGGAACUUGAGCAAUUCAAGUGUCCACUACCCGACAAGUUUGUCGCCGGGGGCAUCAUGGCCAAGCUUCCUCCCUCGUGGAGGAACUUUGCUACUUCACUAAAACACAAGAGACAAGAAAUCUCUGUGGAGAACCUGAUUGGGACUCUUGAUGUUGAGGAGAAGGCGAGAGCAAAAGAUGCUGGCCCCAAAGGCAACACGCAAGAGGGUACGUCCACUGCCAACAUGGUUCAGAGGAACAACCACAACAACAGUAACAGCAAGGGAAAGGGAAAGGCAUUCAACAAUGCUGGUCCAAAAAACACUACCACUUUCAAGAAGAAGAAGAAAAGAGGCAACAAGGACAAGGAUCCUUACUUUGUGUGCGGAGGACUCGGCCACUGGGCGAGUAACUGCAAGGAGCGCAAAGGAGGACAGAUUCGGCAAAAGUUUGCUAAUUUGACCAUUGGUAACAAUGAAGAUGCAGGUGGGUAUAGUCAUUUAUUUACUGUAUUUUCUGUAUGUCAGUCCACCGAUUGGUGGUCAAUACAGGUGCAACUAUUCAUGUGUGUGCUGAUAUUUUCUUGUUUUCUUCAUAUCAGGCCAUCAGCUCCUCAGUGACGAUGGGGAACGGCGCUCAUGCUUCUGUUCAUGGUGUUGGCACGGUGGAUCUGAAGUUUACUUCGGGAAAGAUCGUGCAGCUGAGGAACGUGCAGCAUGUGCCCUCCAUUCAGAAGAAUCUUGUUAGUGGAUCCCUCCUUUGCAAGGACGGAUUUAAGUUAGUGUUUGAGUCCAAUAAAGUUAUUGUGUCUAUGUAUGGACAAUUUAUUGGUAAAGGUUAUGAGUGUGGAGGCUUGUUCCGCUUAUCCCUUUCGGAUUUUUGUAAUAAGGUCGUGAACCGCGUCAAUUGUAUUAAUAAUGAGUCUAAUGUUUGUCAUUCAUGACUUUGUCACAUUAAUUUUAGUUGCAUGAUGCGAUUAGCAAAUCUGAGUUUAAUCCCUAAAAUCACUGUGGCUAAAGAUUCGAAGUGCCAAACUUGUGUGCAAGCGAAGCAGCCUCGCAAGCCUCACAAGGCUGCUGAGGAGAGGAACCUAGCACCAUUAGAACGCAUACAUUCUAAUCUUUGUGAGAUGAACGGUGUAUUAAUCAAAGAUGGAAAACGUUACUUUAUGACUUUCAUUGAUGAUGCGACUAGAUUCUGUUAUGUGUAUUUAUUAAAAUCAAAGGAUGAAGCAUUGCAUUAUUUCAAGAUCUAUAAAGCUGAAGUCGAGAAUCAACUUGAGAAGAAAAUUAAACGUUUGCGGUCUGACCGCGGUGGAGAAUAUUUCUCCAGUGAGUUUAAUUCAUUUUGUGAGGAACAUGGCAUAGUCCAUGAGAGGACACUUCCCUAUUCGCCCCAGUCAAACGGGGUUGCUGAGAGGAAAAUCCGCACGCUGACUGACUUGGUCAACGCCAUGUUAGACACUGGUGGUUUAUCCAAGGCAUGGUGGGGGGAGGCGCUAUUAACUUCGUGUCAUGUCCUAAAUCGUGUUCACACAAAAGAUAAAGUCACCCCAUACGAGCUAUGGGAAAAGAAGAGACUCACACUUUCUUACUUACGGACUUGGGGUUGUUUGGCGAAAGUCAAUGUGCCAAUUACCAAGAAACGUAAGAUUGGACCAAAAACCGUUGAUUGUGUCUUUCUUGGCUACGCACUUCGGAGUGUUGGCUAUAAAUUCUUGGUUGUAAAUUUUGGAGUACCUGACAUGAGCGUUGGUACAAUUAUGGAGUCCAGGGAUGCUACAUUCUUUGAGAACAUAUUUCCCAUGAGAGAUAUGCAUAGCACAUCUAGAGAGGAUCAUGAUGUACCUGCUGAACCCGUCAGUUCAGAGGAACAUCAGGAUCAUGGUGUAGCUCCUGAACCCGCCAUCCUAGUGAAAAAUCUUGAACAAACACUUGAUGAGAUUCCUGAGGAGUAUGACAAUGAAGCCCCUAUUAGGGGUAAGUGACAAAGGAUUGCUAAAUCCUUUGGUGAUGAUUUCAUUGUUUACCUUGUGGAUGACACCCCUAAAACCAUUAAUGAGACUUUUGCAUCUCCGGAUGCAGACUAUUGGAAGGAAGCCAUUCGUAGUGAGAUGAAUUCUAUCAUGGCUAAUGGUACUUGGGAGGUCGUUGACCGUCCGUACGGGUGCAAACCUGUAGGAUGCAAGUGGAUAUUAAAAAAAACUUAGGCCUGAUGGUACUAUUGAGAAGUACAAGGCGCGGCUUGUGGCCAAGGGUUUUACACAGAAAGAAGGUGAUGAUUUCUUUGAUACUUACUCACCUGUAGCUCAAUUGACCACAAUUAGAGUAUUACUAUCACUGGCUGCCUCAUAUGGUCUGAUCGUCCAUCAAAUGGACGUUAAGACAGCUUUCCUUAACGGAGAGUUGGACGAGGAAAUUUACAUGAAUCAGCCAGAUGGAUUUGUAAUAAAGGGUCAUGAAGGCAAAGUGUGUAAGUUAUUAAAAUCUCUAUAUGGCCUGAAACAAGCUCCUAAGCAAUGGCAUGAGAAGUUUGACAAAAUUUUAACAUCUGCCGGCUUUGUUGUAAACGAAGUUGACAAAUGUGUAUACUACUGCCAUGAGGGGCGGGGGUGAGGGAGUUAUACUUUGUUUGUAUGUCGAUGACAUACUAAUAUUUGGGACUAACCUCAAAGUGAUUGAAGAGGUUAAGACUUUCUUGUCGAAGUGCUUUGACAUGAAAUAUCUUGGUGUAGCUGAUGUUAUUCUGUACAUCAAGCUCGUGAGAGGCGACAAUGGUGAGAUCACUUUGUUACAAUCUCAUUAUGUGGAAAAGAUCUUGAGUCGUUUUGACUAUGCUGAUUGUAAACCUUCUACAACUCCUUAUGAUCCAAGCAUUCUGCUUCGAAAGAAUCACAGAAUUGGAAGAGACCAACUGAUAUAUUCUCAGAUUAUUGGUUCACUCAUGUAUUUGGCUAGCACAACUACACCUGACAUCUCUUUUGCUGUGAGUAAACUGAGUCGGCUCAUUAAGAAUCUGGGAGAUGAUCAUUGGAGUGCACUCGAGAGGGUCAUGCGCUAUUUAAAGGGCACAAUGAGCUAUGGUAUACACUAUACUGGGUACCCCAAGGUACUUGAGGGUUAUAGUGAUUCAAAUUGGAUAUCUGAUGUUGAUGAGCUAAAGGCCACUAGUGCAUAUGUGUUCACACUCGGAGGGGACGCUGUUUCAUGGAAGUCUUGCAAGCAAACGAUCUUAACCAGAUCAACAAUGGAAGCAGAACUUUCAGCAUUAGAUACAUUCACGGCUGAAGCCGACUGGCUUCGUGAGCUCUUGAUGGACUUGCCGAUUGUUGAAAAACCAAUACCAGGGAUUCUUAUGAACUGUGACAAUCAAACUGUGAUAGUGAAAGUGAACAGUUCUAAAGAUAACAUGAAGUCAUCAAGACACUUCAGGAGACGUCUGAAAUCUGUCAGAGCAAUGAGAAAUUCCGGAAUAAUAGCAUUGGGAUAUAUCCCAACGGCUAAAACUCUGGCAGAUCCCUUUACAAAGGGUCUAUCAAGGAAUGUGAUAGAAUCUGCAUCAAGGGAGAUGGGGUUGCGACCCACGUGAGUUACCAUGGCGGUAAACCAACCUAUGUGAUCGGAGAUCCCGUGAAUUGGGACCUGGGAAACAAGUCAUUGGAUAACUGAGGAGAGUGUACAUUCUUUAUCCCACUCCGUUGACGAUGCAUUACUCUCGUGUACUGUAUGGUAGGUUGUUAACUUAAUGUGUUCUAACGCGUUACAUUAAUUUGCAAGGGAGAUACUGUCCUACAGAGUAGUCUCUAAAGAACACACCUAUAUGAACCUGACUGUCGGUCGCAGUCUAUGAGAUUUAGGUGGUCUCUAGUAAGCUCAUGAAAAGGCCUGGAGAAUGACUUAUAUGCUCCACACCGCGGGAUAGCAUUCGGCAGCCUAAUACCAGACAACAAUUUAGUGAAGCUCUAAUACAGAAAACUGACAAUUCAAGAUUUGUCCAUUGUUCAGUUGUGUGUGAGUGAAGCUAUUUGUUUAGGUGGAUAUUCAACCUUAACCAGUCUCCACUGAAACGCUGAUAUAUCAAAAACAGAGUUUUGGAUCAAUGGCAAUUUUAUGUGCUUAUGAGAUAUUGUGGAGGAUUGUUGGAAUUUUGGGUUAGGCCCAAGGCCCAAUCUGAAAUUAAUUCCUGGAAAAUCUCAAAAACCCAUUCAUGGAGUGGGAUGAGUAAGUGGGAAUAGUCCCACCUUGCUAGUUUAGGAGAGUUGGACCAAUAUAUAAGGUAUGUUGGUUCUCAACUCUUGAGCAAGUGAGUAAGGGAAAUCCCCACGCGCGCUCCUCCUCCUCCUCCGCUCGCCUCGCCUUGUCACGACGCGCGCGCGCCGCGUUUCGUGGAUCGAUUUUGAGUCGUGCCGGGCCAGGCCGGGGCAGGGUCAUGCUUAUCUUUUUGGCAAUCGGAAUCCGUUCCGGACGCGUAACAAAUCCCGAUAAUUGCGGAGUCGGUUUUGGUUUUUUAAACCGAACCGAAGUCCGCCUACAUGCCGAUAUAAUAAGACGACCGCGACCGCGGCCUCCGGACGUAUGACGCCACAACCCUAGCCAUCACGGUCACGAUCCAAUCUCGCUGUUCGCCGCCAACUGCUACUCCAUCCCGUCGACUGCGUGCAUAGAUCGUCGGGAGAGCAGACCUCCGGAACCCCGACCUUCGAGAUUCUGCCCGGGAGACGGUCGAUAAGGUUUUUGGUGAGCGUUCUCACGCGACUGCUCGCUUCUUCACGUCCCUGUUUCGUCAGCAUCUUCAUCACCAAUGGCCGACGACCUCGGAGAUCCUACAGCUCAGGCUGCCGUUCUAGCUCAGCAGCAGCAGGCUGCCCAACUCCAAGCCUAGGCAACUGCUGCUGCACAGGCACAAGCGCAGGUGCUGGCCGCUGCCUAGGAGGUAGUCAAGGCUGCUGCUGCUGCCGGCGUGAACAUCGACACCGCCGGACUCGUCACCGACCUCAACAAACAAACACAAGAAAAGAGUAUAACACCGUACCUAAUCUGUUUUUUCUUGUUGAUUUUGAUUAGUAGUUCUAUCAUUCAUGCCGUGAAAUUAGAUGGGUUUUAUUGCUGUGCGUUGCUAUUUAAUUUGUCUAAUUUGCAUGAUAUAAUAUGUUACAUGUUUUACAAAUUGUUUUUCUAGAUUAAAUAUUCAUCAAAAUUAUCUAAUUAUUCAACAAGAAGGUCAAGGCCAUGCGCAAGGGUAAGGCCAUAGAGAUCACCGUUGCAGAAGGCUAUAUCUAUGAAAAUCCUCUUGCGCCAACCAGACUCCUGGGCGGCCCUGGCCCAGCCGCUGUGGGAGCCAACUUUGCACAGCGCGACGUUGAGCCAAUCCUCGGUGAUGGCGGCGAGCAAGCAGCCGUCGGAGGUGGGUGCUUGGGAAAAGAUGAGUUUCGGGAUGGUGUUUUCCCUAGGAUCGCCACCUGGCGCGAUCCAGUAGGGGGAAGGGAACAUGCUCUGCUUCGGGGAGAGAACCCACCUCAACGCCGGAGAAGAGGUUCACGAUCACGAGCUCGCGGUUGUUGAACGCCGGGACCCAGCCGCCGUCGUGGGAGCCAGUCAGGAGCUUCCUGGCCACCUUGCUCGGGACGCGCAAGACACAACAACUGUCCUCGUUGGGGCCGCACAGGUGCUUCGUCUCGCUGCGGCAGCGUUGGGAGAGGAGCAGCAGUGGGGCUGCGGGCUGCGCCGUCGGGAGGAAAGCCUCAAGUGGACCAUGCCGACGAGGUCGUCGCAGAGGUCGGACCACCGCGCUGACGAUUCUGUGCUGCCGUUCCCGGCGGUCAUCCGCAGAGGCGAUUCGAUGAUAGAUCACGUGUACCGUGGUAUUUGGCGAGUGUACCGACCUGUAAGUCCGCUAACGCAAAGCGAGGAGUUGGUACUAGUCUAUCGGCCGAACAUCAAAUCUAUAGCCGAAUAGAUUUGUUCGAGUAUGAUUGAACAAAUCUACAGCCGAAUAGACAAAUCCGACCGUUCGUAGGAUCGACAACUUUUGUUCUCUGAGAUAAACAAUCAAGGUCUCGUACAGGCUAUACAGCCGUCUUGGCGUUGCAGGCGCGGCCGCAAUCCAGCCAGCGCGUGCCGGAGGGGCCUCUCAACGGAGGACGCGGUCGGUCUGCCGGUCCAUCACGUUGGGCGUUGGGCGUUGGCCGUCACGUACUUGACUUGAGCGACAUGAGUUCGAUGGACGAUGCCUCCUCUUCAAGCAAAUACUCCGUACUUGUGAAAUGUGAGCUCUUAUUUCAGAUGAAAUGUUGUGUUGUCAACUUGUCAAGGUGCCGUGUAACGCCUCCUCGCUUCCUUCUUCCUCCUCGGGCUCACCGGGUGAGCCAAGCAACCCGCUCGCUGGAUGUCAGACACACUGAUCGGCUGAGGAAAUGCUGCUUUGCUUGCAGUUUUUGUGUUCUUGUGCAUCUGUGAUCUGCGUAAGUCACAGUGAUCGGCUGAAGCAAUACUCCCUUGCCUGAUUCCCCUCUUUUCCCUCUGUUUCAAUCUCUCUAUCCGUUCCCCUUUUUCUACAGUCUGUUGCGACAUGGAGGAGAAGAGUUUGAUUCGGUCGACACUGGGAAAUUUCAUCCAGAAUAUGAUUGGUAGGCCCAAGAAAAAAAUGGUUUCAGAAGAGACAAGGUGUUCUAUCAAAAUGCCAAUCAAAAAUGUGUUAUUUUGACUUAGUUUGACACUGAUGAAUUGGACUGCAAUGAAAAAGUACAUAUGAAAGAAGAAAAAGGUUGGAUAGUCAAAAAACAAAGUCAGAAUAUGGUUGGAAAAACUUAAUUAUCAUAAUCCACCACAAUGCUGCGAAACCAACCCUUUGUCUAAGACAAAGAAAGAUGUGCACAUUUUGAUUGCUGAUGAUCUUGGCUAAUUUUUUUUAAAUAAUACUAUUUUUUUAAUCAUUUUUAAAAAUAAUACGUGUUUUUUAAAAAUUUCAAAAAUAAUGCGGCCUCGGCCUAGGCGAGGCCGAUUGAGCUCAGUCGGCCUCGGCCAGGCCGACUGCAGGCCGCCUGCUCAGCCCGCGAGGCCCCCACGAGGCAGUCGGCCUGGCCCAAGCCGACUGAAACCUAGGCCAACUGGCCCAGUUGGUUUCGGCCAGGCCGACUGGAUUCAGUCGGUUUGGGCCAGGCCGAUUCGAAGUAAUUCCAUUUUUUGUUUCGGAUCCUUGCGGUCUUUUGAACUAAAAUACUCAACUUGGAUAAAAGUAACACACCGAAUCCGAUCAGAAGUAAUUAGAUUUCGCCGCGAGUUCGUGCAUGAUCAACGCAUACACAGCCGAAGCUCAUUUUUGUCUCGAAUCCUUGCGGUUUUUUGAACUAAAAGACUUAACAACUUGGAUAAAGAGUAACAUACAUCGAUAAUUUGCUGGACAAUUUUUGUGUCGAUUCUUUGCGGUUUGUUUGAACUGGAAGACUUGACAUUUGGAUAAAUUUGGAUAAAUUAACAUACAUCGAUAAUGUGCUGGUUACAGAACCAAGGCAUGACUAAAUUAACAUACAUUGGUAAUACCGCAAUUGGACAUAAUUAAAGAUAGCAAAUACAUUUGAAACACAAGCACUACUGAGUCCACUUAGCCAUUUUCCGCUCGUAUCGCCACGUCCUUCUGCAGCCUUUGCCACGGCGGCCCUUUCUCUUUGCCUCUCCCUUUCUGCCUCACGAGCAUCCUUGCGACUUUGUUCCUCCUCUUGCAUCUCAAGUGCUUUCUCCCUGUUUUUCCUAAGUGCUUCAUCAAUCCAACGACGUUGUUCCUCCCUAUGCUCUUUCAUCUCUCUCUCUUGCUCCUCUUUCUCCUGGUCUGAAGCUUUUUCCACAUGCUUCUCCGCGUGGAAACACUGCCAUGCAUUUCGGGACCUUGUUUUGAUCUCUUCCACCGCCCAAUCCGGCAUCUCCGUGUCAUCCUCCUCGGCCUCUCGCCCUGGUCCGAGCAAGGCAAACUCAUCGGGGUCACUGGAAUAUUGGAAAAAACAGUAGUGGGAAGGAUGCUUGGAUGACUACCGGAGAUGAGGUAUUUAUAGGCUCUCAAACUCAUUCUCCCGGCACCGUUUCCCGCCUCGUUUUCCCGCCAGCGUUUCCCGCCUCCUUUUCCCACCACCGUUUCCUGCCUUUUUCCCGUCACUGUUUCCCGUCUAUUUGUAUCUUCUGUAACUAUAAAAGACCGUCCAUGGUAUUGAAGUGUAGUCUCACCAUUUCAUCUGGGAAGAUGUCGUCCGGCUUCCCAGAUGAUCGUAGAUUUUGGUCAGGUAUGUCCCGAGAGCUAUUGUGGUUAGCAGGUGAUUUCAAGGUAGACAAUAGGAUAGUUUCAUGGGACGAACUCAUUAGUAGUGACACCCUACUAACUGAGCUGAGCCACCAAUUAUAUAGGUGCAAUUUUCCAUUGAGGACUUCUGCAGAGAUACGGCAAGAACUGCUAAGGUUGCACGAAAGGUGGAAGAAGCACAGUGAACGUAAGAGUGAGUCAUACCUACAAUGGGCUAGAAAACAUCCGUGUUAUGGGUUGAAGAGGAGGAAUCCGAUGAAGAUAUCUUCAUGCCAAGCAAAACGGGUAAGAGUUCUUCAUCGUCCAAGGGGAAGAGUACUGCACCAUCGAAGCGAAAGAGCACAUCAUCGUCCAAGGGGAAGAGUACAUCAUCGUCCCAUGAAGAUAUCUUCAUGCCAAGCAAAACGGGUAAGAGUUCUUCAUCGUCCAAGGGAAAGAGUACUGCACCGUCGAAGGGGAAGAGCACAUCAUCGUCUAAGGGCAAGAGCACUUCAUCUUCGUAGAGUUAGAAUUAGGUUAUCUUAUUUUAAGUUGUCGAUUUUAAUUUCAGUCUUUCUAUUGCAUAUAUAUUUCAGUCCUGCCAUUUUUUAUAUGCAAAUGUAACUUGAAUAAGAAUGCGAAAAAUAGUAACAUGUAUCUCUCAUACAUAGGUAGAAAUAUGUCUCAUACAUAGAUAGAAAUAUGUCUCAUACAUAGGUAGAAAUAUGUCUCAUACGUAGGACCUACAUGCAAAUAUCAGGCACGGUGUCUGGGACGGCGUUCCGGGGGUGCCUAUGGCGUGGUCCAGCCAUACCUAUGAGGUGGCACAACGUUGCGCGGAGGAAUCACGGACCCAUCCUCACGAUACUGUGUAUCCUCCUGUGUGGGGUCUGGUCGCGGAGUACUGAACAUCCAGCUGUGUUGGAGAGAAUAGUGCUCUCCUCGAGCGUGAUCCUGCUCACUAUCCCACGAGGGUUCGGACAACGACGACUGAUGCCCGUAGGGUCCUGCAUGUGGGAAAGUACUUAGCAUUAGAAUUGUGUAGCAAUCAUGGUAAUGAACACAAUAGAUAGAAAUAUACAUACCCUGUGGCUGGGUCUGUGGACGAAACUCGAAGUUCAUCCUGCGACUCUGCUGGUGCUGCCACGCCGAACCUCUAGCCUGAAAAGAGGGGGGCUGCUGCUGCCACACCGAACCUCCAGCCUCAAAAGAGGGCUGCAGCUGGUGCCAAUAGUUGAAAGAAGACUGCGGCUGGUGCCACGACGAACCUCCGGCCUGCUCAGGAGGUGGUGGCCUGGGCGUCGACUGCUCUGGUAGACGUGGACGCGGGUGGUGUCGGGGGAGCGGUGCUUCCUGCUGACAUGGCCGCUGCUGGUGCGUGGAGUGACGAGGUGGCCGUACGGAUGCCUGGUGGUGAACGACGUCCGAAGUGCAGGUGCACGUGAUAGCCGCGUAAACAGAGCGUAGCUUCUCCUUCAUUCGUCUAAGCCAGGACUGGUGCGGCUCCCGUGGUAGUAGAAGUGGACCGGUCGAAAGCGAACGUCCAUACGCAGCGAACUCGGCCUGUAAAUUCUGUGUCAACUGAGCCUGCAAUUGGCACGAAGAGUAUUACAUAUAUAUGGCAAAGUACGUAACAAACACAUGCAUUAUGUUAAGAGAAGAUACUUACCGCGUGCUGUCUAGAGCCUGAAGUAGACUGGCUAGGGUACAUAUCUUGCAAACUCGGCUCGGCUAUCUCCUGGGGGUGAGAGUGCUGAAUGAUGCUCAAUCGGGUAGCUGUCAUGUACCUCUGCAAAUAUCCGUUGAAUAGAUCAAGAUCAAAGGCCUCCAAUGGCCAAACCCGUGUCGUCGCAGUCUCCCACUCUGUGACGUACGACUGAACCCUCUGCAGUCACUGAGUCAGGGUCCUGGUACUUCCCUUCCUGGUAAACCUGAGAUCGCAAUAGAAAGUUGAACAAUUAAAUUAUGGAUAAUUCUGGACGACAAUCAUAAAUUGCAGAACUGCACAUACCUGUGGACGAUCUGUGGAAGUGGAUCAUCCGUCGGUGGAGGAACGACCAACCGGCGUGCCCCAAACUACCUCAUGACCCUCUGCUGGGCCAUCUCCUCCAUGCAGACGUCGAAGAUGAUCUUUGAUUUUGUCAUCCAGUAAGCAUAAUCUCUCGUGCAGACCGUGGACAUCCCGCCAGGGUAUCUAUCAUCGAUGGCAUCUUGUGUGUACGGCUCCUAGACAACCGCCUCAGAGUGCAACACGUCGAACUGCUCGUUGAAUGAUGGGUAGCAAUUCCUGACCUGAUCGUGUGCAAAGCGUCUCUGUAAAAAAAAGAAGUUAGCUUCAUUCAUGGUUUAUGUAAACUAAUGUAUGAAUUUCACAUUCGACAUACCUUGCUACGUGUCCAAAUUGUCGCGAAAGUAGGCAGGUCGAUGUGUUCUAAGUCAAACAACUCCUGCUCAGGGUUAGGGUGAUCACCCGUAACGUCUGGUCGGCCGAUAGAAAACCUCUCCCACGACCAGAGCUGCAACAAUAAAGGACAUCCAAGCAGGGCUGACUUGGGCGACGCAAGCUGGCAAGCGUUGCACAUACCUCGGUACGUAGCCGCUAAGACGGCCGAACCCCAACUCCUCUGUGUGAUGUCGUCACCACAAGUUGCAUUCGCGAUCUCCACUGCAAUAGGGAUGUAGCGUGCGCUAAUGGUGGUGACGUGGUUCUCGGUGAACAUCACCUCCCGAGAAGCCACAUUAUAUAUGCCUCAAGGCUCCGAGUGAUCUGAGGCUCAGUCAUUUGGGUCUCUGUAUACCCAAACUUCUGAAUCUGCAUGCAACAAAAACCAAGUGUUAGUAAACCCAUGCAAGUAUAUGAGGUAUGCUCUUAGAUAUAUUAACUUAAAACACAUCGAUCUAACCUGGUAAUUAGGCAACCAAUCUAGCUUAGGUCCGUGAGCCUCCGAGGUAGGGGCUCAGCUCCGGCAAGAAUACCUUGAAAACGUAGGGAACAAAUUAACCCAUAGUUCCACAUAGCGUACAAAUUAAAACACAGGGCACAAAUUAACACAUACCUUGAAAGCGUAGUGCCAUACCCUCCUGCCAAUCAGCUGGUGCCUGCAACGGUCCUAUGGGAUCACCCACCAAUGGUAGUCCCAGCAGCAUCGAGACAUCCUGGAGAGUAGGAGCUAUCUCUCCCCAGUGAAAAUGAAACGUGUGUGUCUCGGGCCUCCAUCUGUCCACUAAGCAGCUCAGCAGCAAGUGGUCAAUUUGUAGCCGUGUAGAGUUGAAACCUCGUCGCUCACCCUCUACCAUUUCCGCACAAGUUGCCCCAACAAGUCGUGCGAAAGGUAAAAGGCCAGCCCACUUCAAACUGCAUAAAUAAAAUGGACAUGCAAGGGAUGAAUAAAUAAAAUGUAAAUGCAAGGGAUGAUUGAAUAAAAUGUACAUGCAAGGGAUGAAUAAAUAAAAUAGACAUGCAAGGAAUGAAUAAAUAAAAUGUAAAUGCAAGUGAUGAUUGAAUAAAAUGUACAUGCAAGGAAUGAAUAAAUAAAAUGGACAUGCAAGGGAUCAUUGAAUAAAUACCGCUGAAUCCAGGCAGGGUGUAUCAUCCAUUUUCCCUUAGGAGUGCGCGUGACAAGGGGCUCGACACUCUCAGGAUGCGCCACCAAUCGAGCAGCCUGAUGCUUACUCUCAAUCUCCGGAGAAAGCAAUGAUACUCUCUCCAUUUUGUGCCUGCAACAUUUAUAAACAAAGUUAGACAUACAAAUUAAAGUUAAGCAUAGUUAAACCGAGAGUACAUAUUAAAACAUAGUUGAACAAAGCGUACAAAUUAACACACAGUUCCACACAGAGUACAAAUUAAAACAAAGGGCACAAAUUAACACUUAGUUUCAGAUAGUACAAAUUAAAGCUUAGUUCCACAUAGAGUACAAAUUAAAACAUAGAGCACAAAUUAACACAUAGUUUCACAUAUAGUACAAAUUAAAACAUAGAGUACAAAUAAAAACAUAGAACACGAAUUAACACAUAGUUUCACAUAUAGUACAAAUUAACACAUAGUUUCACAUAUACAUGAUAAGCCUAGUUUCUUCCUCUCCCUCGUCGUCCACGUCUCCCUCUUCUACGGGCAGUAGCUCCACCAGUACCGAAAGUUGGACAAUAAGUGUCCCUGUGGCCAAAAUGGUUGCAUAGAAAACAUUGUCGUGACGGUCCUCCGGCUUCAGAUUCAUCCAUAUCAUUUCGGGUGCACCUGAACGGGCGUCUGCCUGUGCCUGUACGCAGUAGCCCGGGGUCAGGAAUGUACCGCCUUUCACCAGGGGUUACCUUGUUGAAAUUGCCCAUUGCACAAAACCCUAGCAUCUCACCCGUCCAUGUGCUAGGCACAGACUCUUUCAGGUAAUAGGGAGACACAAAUGAGAUUGCGUCCAUCCCUAGCUGCCCGCAAGCAACAAGUACAUGUGAGCAACGAAGGUGAAGCAACUUUGGUUUGUUGCAGGUGCACUCACACGUUGGCCACGCUUCAUUUCCAAUCUUCACCUCCUGUGUCCUCAAUUCAUUUCCAACGCCGAACUUGUCAGUUGGCAAGCGCACCUCAAACCUAUGUUCUUGAUUACCGAUGGCGACGACAGUAUGAGACGUAGCUUUUCCAUCUUCUCAUCCAUGUACUUCAUAAUCUUUUCACGGUACGGUGUAUUUGGGUUGUUCAUGAUAUGCAUUUCAGCUCUCUGGCGUCUAUCUCUGAAAUACUUCACCGUGCCAUGGAAAAUACCCUCGACGAUGGCUGUAAGUGGUAAAGCCCUAUUUCCCCUCAGGACAAAGUUGUAUGUUUCUGCCAGGUUAGUAGUCAUGACGCCGUACCUAGCGCCAUGUGUGUCAUGCAGCAAAGACCACCACUCCAGAGGCUUGUGCUCUAUCCACUGCUGAAAGUUUUUAAUCUGCCUCCCAACCCUUCUCCUAGUGCCGGGUGGGUCAAACCCUGGCAAGUCACAAAGCCCAACAAGUUCUUCCUCAGAUGGUCCUGUUCCAACUGCUGUCUGUGCAGCCACUGCUGCUACAUGUGCUGCUACCGCUGCGUUUCGUGCCGCUGUCCUCUCCCUAACAUGUUUCUUCUUGAACUCAUCAAGAUAACCACGUAUCCUAGUGUACUUCCAUUGUUGGUUCUGUUUGCAGAGUUUCUUGAAUAGAUUCAUAAGUGACUUGUUCCUGAACUGCGAGAAGAAGUUGGCCCCCAAAUGCCGCAUGCACCAACGACUCUGCAUGUCCUGCCAUGGAGUCUGUUCAUCAGGCUCAGGGUUUGUCAGUGUCCUUAUCACACUAAGUAUGCCUGCAUGUCUGUCAUGAAGGAUGCACACAUUCGGCUUAAUCAUGCACAAUUGCUCUCUUGAGCUGCCUGAAAAACCAUAACCAACUUUAAGUUUUCUCACCCUCCACGAAAGCAAAUGCGAGCGGAACGAUUUGAUAGUUGCCGUCUUGACCAAUGGCGGUCAAGAUCUGCCCCCUGUAUUUGCCAGUGAGAAAAGUACCAUCUAUGCAUAACACCAGUCGACAAUGAUGGAAAGCUUGAACGCAUACACCGAAAGUGAAGAACAGUCGUUGCAGCACCCUCACAGUUGGAUACUCUGAGUGCAGGAAGUGUUGGAUGUCGACAUAGGUGCCUGGAUUACGGGCUUGCAGUGUAUGGAGGAGGCGGACAACAGAGUCGUACGAGUCGAAAAACGAACCAAAUCUUUCCUCAAGAGCCCUCUGCUUAGCCCUCCAAGCCUUGCCAUACGAAAUGUUGUACUUAAACCUUACCCUGACCUUAUGCAUGAUGGCCUUCACUUCCAUUGCUUUGCUCUCCACUAUCUCCGUGUAAAGCAACCGAGCAAGAAGCGUCGACGAGAGGUUACGAUGGUCUUGAGGGAUACUGGGAAUGACACAUGUGUGCAACAUCAAGUCACUCACAACCCAAUCUGUGUCAUACUUAGGAACAUAGCCAUGCACCCUCCCGGGACAAUCUACUUGUUCACACUCCAUUGUAAGAUAUUUUUGUGAAGAGACUGUUGUUUUGAAAACCCUUUGCGUGGACAUUGCCCAAGCAAUUAUCGCAUCCUGCAGAUGUUUCUUGUCAGCAAAUCUGGCACCCUUCGCAAUGUUGUUCUGAUGAUAUUGUCAUGCAGAGUCGUGCCCAUCGUUCACGGUCAUAGCUGAAGAGAAGUGUUGAUUCCAUGAUGCAGGAGUCGGCACCUCCUCUUUGUCCGACUCAUGAGACUCAUCGUCAUAAGAACUACGGCCAUAUGUAUCUUCAUCCUCCAUCUCGUUCUGCAAGUGACCAUCUUCUUCGUCCGCAUCUGCCUCGCCAGUGUACUCAUCCUCUCCUACUGCCCCGGAGCUCUGGCCUGAUUCAUAACCACCACCUCCAGUAUUCGACACAGAGUUUGCAUUGGACAAGUCAUAAUUUGAUUCACCCUCGCCUUCAGCUGGAUUGGUCUCAUGAGCGACAACCUGGAUUAAGGCGACAGGUGUAGUUCCCCUUUUCUCGCAACUUUUUAACCAGCGCACCCACUUUGAUGUCCAGUCUAUCGGCCUCAAAACCAAAAAAAUAUUUGAACUUGACUUGGUCCACAAUGCUUGCACACGGGCGGUGUAUGUUUCAGGAUUGACCGCUAAACAUCCUACCAACCAUUCCUGCAACUGACUAAACGUCCAUGUUUGAGGGGCCGUUAGAUCCAACUCCACAUACUUAAACUGACUCAGGUCAGCUCCGUGCUCGGUUGUUAAGACAGUACCGGAACCGUAGUAAAAAACAAACUUCACUACACCGGACAUCUCUGAUGCCUAAAAAAAUGUUUAGACGCAUCAAAUACUAAGCAAUACGGCAUAUAAAAAAUAUUAUGACACGUCAAAUACUAAGCAGUACGGCAUAUUAAAAAUAUUAUGACGCGUCAAAUACUAAGCAGUACGGCAUAUUAAAAAUAUUAUGACGCGUCAAAUACUAAACAGUACGGCAUAAAUAAAAUCUAGCCUAAUCAAAACAUAUUACUACCGGCCAUACUAUUUGGACGCGUCAAAUACUAAGCAGUACGACAGAUUUAAAAUAUUAAUAGGUGUCAAAUACUAAACAAUACGGCAUAAAAAAAAUCUCGUCUAUCAAAACAUAUUACUACCGGCCAUAAUAUUUAGACGCAUCAAAUACUAAGCAGUACGACAUUACCCGUUGUCCAAAAUAAUGAGCACUACCAAACGCUAAAACAUACUUCUGGCAUCAUCACCAUUGCUCCAAUCAAAACAUAUACAUUGAAGCAGUGCACACGAAUCCUCAUAAACAUCAUGUGUCUAAGCAGUACACACGUAUCCUCAUAAACAUAUACAUUAUAAGAUAAAUACGUGAGAGAUUAGGAUUUACCCUUGAAGCGUGUGAACCCAACCUCGAGCAACCUCACAGUCACCCGAUGAGCACCACCACCUCCAAACUCCUCCAAACCACCACCAUUGCUCCAACUUUGCACCACAAAAUUAGCUCUACAUGGCCAAUGAAAACAGUAGAUCGAGGUGUCUUUGGGUGCCAACUAGGUAGGGGAUGCGAUUUUGUGGUUUAAAUGGGAUCAAAGUGCACUAAUUUGGGCUAGAAAAUGGGGCCAUUUGAGGAGAAAAUGAAGAACACAGAAGAGAAGAAGCUGGCUGGGAGAACGAGCAGAGGAGGAAGAAGCUGGCUGGGCUCACUCGGGCACGCACGGGAGGGAUGGGAAGGCAAAGUGAAAAAGGAAAAGGAAAAAGAUUCCGGCCCCGAACCCACCAUGCCGCUUUCGGCCACGACGAGGCCGACUGGCCAGUCGGCCUGGGCCAGGAUAACUGCCUCGUGGGGGGCCCACAGGCUGAGCAGGCGGCCUGCAGUCGGCCUGGCCAAGGCCGACUGGGCCUAAUCGGCUUGGGCCAGGCCGACUAGGCCCAUUCGGCCUUGCCCAGGCCAAGGCCGUAUUAUUUUUGAUAUUUUUGAAAAACACGUAUUAUUUUUGAAAAUGAUUAAAAAAAUCGUAUUAUUUAAAAAAAAUUAGCAUGAUCUUGCCGGUAGUUUGGUUUAAUGGAAUAGAAGGUAUUUCGUCUCAAAAAAGCAUUUAAAACAAACAUAAAAAUAAUAUAUCAAUGCCAAAUUUCUCAAGAUGGGUGACGUAGAGGGGAUGAGGAAUGUUCCCAAUCCUAAGCAUCCCGGCUAUCCCAGCCGAAAUACAAGCCUGUCCGGAGAGUACUCAUGAGUUCCCCGUUCGGUUGCAACAACCCCUGCAGGGAUUGAGUGGCGUUUAGAGAAAAUUGAACUAAACUGUCAUCGUUACUUCUCAAUCCCCAACGAGAAAGCCGUGCGAAAAACCCUGACAAUGAGGAUACACAGGGCAAAACCGAAGAAACAAGCCGCUACCGCGAAAACGAAACCCCUCCCGCUCCAACGACGCCGAACAGGGAACAUCACCUUGCGCCAGAGCGGGUAGGCAGAACUGGACUUCUUCGACGACCGGAGACAGGAAGAGGUUGCCCUGACAGGAACGGCUCGCGCAACGGCAAGCCUGCGUAGCACGAAGUCGCCCUCCCUGGCCAGCCCCACCGCGGCAAGCAAACUCUGCCGCCAGACGAGGGCUCCAAAGGUAACGCCUCCAAGGAGGACACGGCGUCCGAAGACGCCACCAUUGCCCGAUCCGAAAAACGCAUCUGAGCUUUCGCUCGGAGGCACCUCGCCUGCAAAAGGUGGGAUGUAGUAGGGCUGCACGAUGACGCCUUCAAGAAGGGAGCGGCGUCCAAGGACGCUGUCAUCGCUGGCACCAAAGGCGGUGCAGGGUUUUCACCCGCAGCCCACGCACCCAGCGUGAAUAGGGGCAAAAAACCUUCGCAAUGAAGAACUGACCAGAGGCCAGAGGCCACCAAAGCUCCGUGCGCACCGACGUAGGUCCGUCGACGCCAAUGGCCCAAACUAUCAGCCGCCAGGGCAUCACAACCGCCCCACGCACCGGCUUUGACGCACACUCGGCCCGCAGGCCCAAGCCGGACCCAAAACGGGCCCGCCCGCCACGGGCCAUCGAGCCGGUCGGGAACCUCCACGCACCGGCAAGUGCACGGCAAUGCUGCAACCACAUGCCGCCUAGCAGAACUGGCCGGCUGCCUGGGCCGGGCUCAUAUGUGAGCCCACGCCACCCAUCUGCACCCAGCAGACCAGUGCCGCCAUGCUGCCCAGCACCGCUCUGCGCCGACGGCCCCACGCGCCACCCCACGCCUCCACGCGUUCCCCGCCGUCAUCUCGCGCCACCAGGCGCCGCCUCGUCGUGGGAGAAGAGGAAAACGCUCCGCCGCCACCUUCCUUUGGCGUGCGCAGGCUUCGCCGGCACCCCCUUCGGCGGCAGCAAAGCAGGGGAAAGGGAGGAGGAGGAGGAAGACCGGUGGCGGCUAGGGUUUCAGGCAACACGGGGUAGGAGGAUGAUCCUUUGAUUUUAGUAUUUGCAUCUAGAUGUGGCCAAUGACUACAGAACGUACCCCAAUGCAGCAACUCAAUCCAUCAAAAAUAAAAAUAAAUCAAAGAGGCCGAAUAGAACAUGAAAUCCGAUAGAUCGAAUACGUUCAUAGGAUCGACACUUUGUGUUCUUUGAGAUAAAGAAUCGGAUUCCUAACAAUAUAUAGAAAGGGAUUUUGUUUUGUUUGUAGCCUUGUAUUAGGCAACUAGCCGCUGCUACUCGUAAUCGAUGGAAACAGAAAUGGGGAUGUCGACGGCGCCGUGGUCCUCCCUCCCCGACGACCUCCUCGGCCUGAUCCGCCACAGGAUCGCCUCCCCGCGUGACCGCGCGCGCCUCGCCGCCGUCUGCUGCUCUCGGCCACAGACCGGUGCCCGCAACGCACAAUCCGGCAGCGACGGCGCGACCUCUCCCGACUCCCACUCCCAGCUCGUCGCCUCUUCAAUCUUCUCGCGCUUGGCGCCUGCAACUCCGGCCAGCUCGACGGUGGAGAGGCCAAUCUGCACGGCAGCCGCAACUAAAGGACGGCACCAACUACCGAAUCAGGGGUAGGCGCAAGUUAGUUUCAGGUUGAGUUGUUGUUCAGAUCCGAGUUGUUGUCACGCUGUUCAGAUUUUGUUGUCGAGUUAGUGUUGCUGCUACUUCGAUUCAUGUUCGUGUGUAGCUUCUACUUGAAGUUUCUGUGUGACCGUGUGUACAGCGACAGCGUGUGUGAUUAUGUAUGUGAGGCUCAAUUGUACGUCAGAUUGCAGGUACGUGUGAUGCUAGUCUGUAUGAUUUGUCGAAUUCUGAAAUGAGAUGGUGCCGAAAUUUCGGAAAUUCCGGGUUACCCGAUACCCGAACCCGAAUUCCGGGUUAUUAAUUUUUUGCUCUAAUUUGGAGUGUUAAAUUUGGAAAUCCGAUUUUUUACUUACCCAAAUUACCCGACCCGAAUUUUCGGGUAAACCCGAACGCCCAGUCUGAUCCUAGUCCUUGUUAUUUGAAACAAAUAAAAAUAAUCAUAGCAGGGGUGUGGCCGGCCGGUACGUGGAUAUAUUUUGUAUCGUGUUUAAAGUUCCAACCGCACAUGUAUGCAUGUUACAUAUCGGAUUCCUUCUUUACUCCAAAAGGGAGAACAUAUCGGAUUCCUAGCUACUUAGUACUGCAGUAUAUAAGAUAAGGGAUUUGUUUGUACGGCGAUUAGCCAGUACUCGCAAUCGAUCGAAAGUUCGAAACACGUAGAGAGAUGUCAACGGCGCCGUGGUCAGAGCUCCCCUACGACCUCCUCGGCAUGCUCCGCCUCAGGAUCGCCUCCCCUCGUGACCGUGUGCGCUUCGCAGCCGUCUGCAAGCCGUGGCGUGCCGCCGCGCUGCUGCUCCCGGCGCCGCCUGCCGCCCCACUGCUGCUCCUCUCGCCGCGCGGCCGCAGCGGGAUGAAGCACUUGUGCGGCCCCAACGACAGCUGGGUCUUGCGCGUCCCGAAGAAGGCUCUCUACAAGCAGUUCCUCGGCUCCCACGACGGCGGAUGGGUAGCUGCGGUGAAUUACGACGGGCUAAUGAUCGUCAACCUCUUCUCCGGCGCCGAGGUUGUGCUCUCCGCAGACCAAACCACCAAGCUCGCCUCGAUCUGCUCUCCCAAGCCGUUGCCGUUCCACUGCGUGGGACACAGCAUCUGGAAGAUUGUCUUCUCCGGAGACCCCGCCUCCUCGGACGGCUGCACCCUCGCCGUCCUCAUGGGCGACCAGGCCCACGUCGCGGUGUGCAGAGUCGGCUGCCCGAACGGCGAAUGGGCCGUGCAGGCUUGGCACGGGGAGUCUAUCCAGGACAUCGCCUUCUGCAACGGCGAUCUCUACGGCCUCACGCUUGGCAGCGAGUCACUGAUCAAGUUUGAGAUCAGCAUGAAGCUGCAGGAACAAGAAGACGGCGGCAUGGCGCCGGUGCUCACGACCAUGGCUCACAAGCUGGCCAUCCAAAGGCGUGACGUUCCCACCUGGGAGCACGAUUUCAGGGCCUACUUCGCCUACAUUUUCGAGCUGCACGGCGAGCCGGCGAUGGCGGUGCGGACCCGGUGGCCGGCCAACCGUGAGCCUAUCUUCAGGGUGUUUAAGCUCUCCGCUGCUGCCGACGGCGUGUCUGAGCACAGGUGGGCAGAGGUGACGAGCUUGGGCGACUAUGCCUUGUUCUUGGGGGUGGCAUGGUCCAAGGCAGUGCAUCUGCCGAUGGAUGCCGGCCGGUGCGUUGCUCGUGAAGGCCUGGAGAGAAACCACAUCUACUACUCCACGCCUACCCGCUCCGAGGAAGACAAGUUGCCCGGCGACCAAGUGUACUCUGUGACAUCAGAAGACGGGCACCGUAUGUAUUGCAGGAAAGACCAGAGCGUGGGCGAUAGCGUUGGGAGAACAGGAUACCACAUGAUGGGUUGGCAUUAUUCUGCCAUGUGGCUACUCCCUCCAGACUUCUAGGUCAUAUAGUACUUCUUUUAGCUGAUAGGAGUCUUCUUUUAGCUGAUAGGGAGAUGACUCCGUCGAUCUUCGUACCAUAUUAUCAGCAUGAAUCUACGUGUGACUGAUUUCGGCCUGAAAGAGUAUCAUCAACCGUCCAGUGCAGUGAGCCGGCUUUCUUCUUGCAGAACACGUCGGAGCGAGAGAGAAAAAACUGUUUACCAGAUGACGAACAAACUGUGACAACCAUAUCAUAACACUGAAUAUAAUCUAUACAGAUGGUCCCCCCCUGAGGUUUGUACACACCGGAGUUUGUCGAAUUUCUGAUGACUGCGACUUAAUUACCGCUGUUGAUAAUACCCUCUACACACUUCUGCAAUCUGCAUGCUAUCCUAACUCCUAAGUAACUAAGCAAUUACACGACAGACUUGAAUCACAACGAUGACACCAGAUCACGGCACGGCAGAGCACCAGCAACUCGAAAAAGACCGACAAGAAAGCAGAAAGAUUCAGCUAAGUCCUUGCUCGGCGCCUACGAUACCCGUCACUGGAAUCAUGCGUCCAAAUGUUGAAUUACUCAUGAUGACAUUGGGCAUCUGCCCAAUCUGGUCAAUCAGCCGUAUGUGUUUGCAUGUGGCUCGUAACCAGCUGUGCUGUAGGUGCAAACAUGUUUGAUCCUGAAAAGGAAAUUUGGUAUUGGUUAGCAAUAGCCAACUUUAACUGGAAGAUACAAGAUGAGACGAACUCCUGUGAUUAUCAGUGUAGGUUAGCACCUGGAACAGCAUUAAAACCAUUCACAGUUUGGUGCAUGGCGGCCCGUGCAUGAACAUUAUGGCUGCUCUUCGUCUCAACAGCAUGUUCACCUCGGUCUAUUGAAACCUGUGGUAAUGAUCCACAUUGCUGGCUUGGUAAUGCUUGAGAAUCAAUCCUCUGAGCGGUGUCGGUAGAAGCACAUGACGCAGUGUGUGGAGGCCCUGCUGAAUGGCUUCUGCUGGCAGGAUCAUCAACAGUUUGCUGUUCACUCGACGCUGCUGUGCUGCUUGGUGGCAUCAUUGCUGUCGAAGAUGAAGUUGGUACAGGUGGCCGAAAUGUGUUUGAUGUUUCAAAAUCUCCUACCCACCCGCGACCAAACGUUAUUCCAGGAGGAAUGACCUGUUCAAUUCGCUUCGAUGCAACUUCCCAAGCGGCAGAACCAAGCUGUGCAGCAAAACGUGCCAGACUGCGGGAAUAGGACUGCUGCCACUGAACCCCAACCUGAAACAAGAAAAUACUGUGUUUAAGUGAGAAUGAUACUAUUUACCAUUCCCCAAAGUUACUGGGAAUCUGAAAGACUGAAACUAUAUUGAUAUAUCAUCGAUCUCUUAGGGAACAUGGCUUGUAUUGGACACUCAACUGGUACAAGAAUCUUCCUUGUUCCGUUGUAUGAUGUUGCCACUGGCAGCUCAUAUAUUGAACUGGAUGGUUGAUGAUGAUAAUAUGUGCUCCGGCGACUUUCUUCUACUAAAAGCGGCUUCUUCGCCAUUUUUCCUGACCAUUUACUCCCGGACCCUGGGACAUACGGAACAUUAAAUGAUGUCAGGGGGAAAUGGGUUGGUUGAAUCGGAAAGAUGUCCUUUAUUCAUCAGCAUCCCAUUGAAUACCCACUCAUUCAAAAUACAGAACUUUGGGGUGAUUUAAAAUAAUCAAAACCUGAGUAAUCUUCAAUGCUUUCCAUUUUGCGCUCGCUAGACCAAUUGUGCUCAUUGUUUCUAUUGGCAAAAGAAGCUUUCAGUACAUCUGCAAUUCUUCUUUGUAGAUCGAAUCCUGAGUGUGCAUGAUGUCCACUAUUUCCACCAGUAGCGAGUGCCGCACCAGGAAAUUCAGGAGGAGCACGUUCUGCUGGUGGUCUCCCAAUGUUUGGUUUGGCGGAGUUCUUUGGAGGCCUGCCUCUGCGACGUUGUGGCUUUGGUUCUUGCUCUGGUAGUGGUUCUGGCUCCGGCUUUGCUUUUGGUUUUGGUUUUGGUUCUGGCUCUGGUUCACUGGCAUCGCUAUCUUGCCUAAGAUUCUCAAAGUCCUUCUUAGCAACCUCUUGAAUUGCUCGUGCCUAUAAUACAUGAUACAUGAAUAUUACAUUUGCGCCAUAGCUUCCACAGAAACAUUGUAAUUCAUGAAAACAAGAAGACACAAUGCUUGACCUGUCGAUAGUAUAUUGUGUCUGGUGAGUUGUAGCACAUCGCAUUUGAGGUUAUCAAAAACACAUCAUCCUGUAAAUAGAAAGUUUGGGUUAGAGGUUACAAAAUGAAUGAGCAUAUAAAUAGCAUGCUGAAUAUGUGAAUCAUUAUGAGGAAUAACUUUGUACUAGCAUAAUAGUAAGAGUAUCACAACACAUUAACAUUACAAUAAGCUUUACGAACAAAAAGAUUGUGACAUCCUCCUAGCACGAGUAAGAAUAAUUCAUUCGAUAGAUAAUAAAAGUACACACCCAGCACGGCCUGUAAUGUUGAUUGUAGUUUAGAUACUAACAUACCGACUAUUUAACAGUGAGUCAAACUGCCAUUUCUUCUCGAGGUGUGGGUUGCAUCCCAGACCAUGGUUUAGCAUGAAGCAUGGAAUAAAACUUGAUGAACACAACAAUGUUAUUGAUAUAGAGGUAAGACUAAAUUGAAUGCGCACUGAAGAUGUAAGUAUACGAUGCCGGUUACAGCAUAUUUAGAUAUAGGUCCAACAGUUUCAAGUGGUACCAGAGAGGGUAGGAGAUAAGUAGCUACAGCAAGUAAAUUGGUAACAGUAAGCAUGCAUACCAAUCCCAAAAGUAAAAGUUCAGAUCUUCCCAUCUCAGUAAAUGCAUAUCUCAUAUUUCAAACUGACAACUUCGACCUCAGGUCCAACAAUACUUCGUUCGUGAGUACCACCACUACAUGAUUCAUUCGUGAGUACUACUACAAAAAGUGUUUAUAUAUUGGAAGUUGAACGUUCUGUUUACCCCAAAAGUAAGCUGCCUUAUUAUAUUCCUUUGGCCACAGGUAACAUGCAGUUUGCAGAGCAUGUAUAUCGCUUUUACAAAUGUAAUAGAACUAGGAAAUCCUGGAAAUGAGUAAUAAAUAUUGUCCAAGCGUUCACACAGCUGGUUUGUGUCUCUUCCUUCUUUUUUAUAAAGAAAGCAUCAUUUCGUAUUUCCUUAAAUAAUAGUUGAAGACAUUUUUACUUCACAGCAGGUGCUUUCAUUAGAUCAUAUUUUCCAUUAGAAAAAAAAUGGUCCAUUUACAGCUUUUCUUUUCUAAAACACACUUCUUCAGAAGAGUUAAUCAUUUAUUUACAUACAAACACUAUUUGUUAUGGAACUGUUUAUAGUAUCAGAUACUAUAGCCAAAUGACUUAAACAUCCUAGUAAUAAUUGGAUAUACAGAACAUAUGAAGACAGCAGCACCUGAUAUGUAACUAAAUAUAAACACAGCCCUGCUCAUAAUUUUAUACAAUUAAAUUUCUGCAAAUGGAAUCAAUAGCAGUAACUCCUGGUGGUGCAAGUGUUUCUCUUCACUUAUUACUAUAACAGAUACCUUGAUUCAGAUUUCAUUUUGCCUUUAAAGAAACUUGUUAAAUGAAAAUGUUGUGCUCCUGUCUUUCAUUAAGAAAAAAAAUCAGGUGUUCGGUACUUCAGUUUACAAGAUAUUUAUCAAAUGAAACAUUGACAGAAAAAACACCUAGCAGCAAAACUCACAGGUUUGUAUUAAAAUAUUUGCACCGCAUGUUUCGACUCUAAGAGAGUGAAUAUAUGUUCCUAAAAGGCAUGGUGCAAUGCUGCAGCAGUACAGAAUAUUUGCCCCGCAUGUUUCGACUCCAAAGACAGCAGUGGACAAGGUAUUUUUUACCAAGCCAGAAAAUGCCAUGGUUUUACUAUUUCUACUGGACUAUAAGAAUAAAGAACAUGUCUGUAAGGUACAAAAGGAGAAGAAACGUCAGCAGGGAAAAACACACGAGUGUGACAGAGAUGACGACUAAUCUAGCUGAUCAAGCAAACCGACAUAACCAAAUUACUGUAACAGCUGAUUUCCUACGAAACACUCUCAAUCUUCUGCCUGUUAAAGGAAAAUCCAAAUAAAAUAGAAAAAGGUGAAACAACAAAAAAACCAAAAGAUUCUACACUGACCUCAAAUUGCUCCAAGAUGGUAUAAGCCCCCUUAUCAAGCUUCUUGCGAACCGUCUGAAAAUCCAUUGGGUCCUUGACAAUAUCAUGGUAAUCGGGCAGCUGACAAUAAAUGCACAAUUAAAGGCAAAUCAGUCAGCUUCUGAAAAACGAACCAAGAAAAACAAGCUUUCAUCUUCAGACACAAACCUCUUCUGGAUCAACUGGCUCUGAGAAUACACCAUAUGUGUCUUUCCUGCAAGAAAGCAAGAAACAGACCUCAGAUAAGAUGUCCCGGAACUGUGAAUGAACUGGAAGGAAGAACAAGCAGAGAGCAUAGCAACUCACUUCUGUAGCCUAUCAAGGAUGAAGACCAAUAACUUUUUGUCCGGCAGAGGUGUCGUGGGACCGGAAUCUGACGGCUCUGUCGAAUGAACAAAUCCAUCCACCCACGAGCACAGAAACAAUCAGAGGCACGGGCAUUAAUUAAACAAGAACAAACUGGAAUGUAUCCACCACUACAAGAAUAAUUAAAAAUGACAUCCUUGUGCACAUUCGUCCAGGUAUUUUUUGCUUCUGAAAUCUGAAGAAUAAAUGCAUCAGAGAGCUAGGGAAAACCAACCUUCACGCCCAUCCGUCGCUAUCCUCGUCUUUUCUCCCUGCGGCAACAGCAGCAACAGAGGAUAAAGAGAAAUUUAAAAACAACAGGACAAAAAUAUCUUCACAGAAAAUCGAGAUGAGCGGAGAAAAGGCGCCAGAAAAAGUGGGGGCUUUCGUUUACCAGCACCAGUUACCAAGUACAGAUCCUAACGACGCCGGCGUCGCGAGAUGUAUAGCAAAAUUUGGCGCGAAAGGCAGAGGAAACCAGCCCAAAAAAAGGUACGCCUUUAAAAGCUUGGAAGCGAUCCACUUACAAAAAAAAUGCGCCAAUUAUUGCGACGCGAGAGAUGCGAUGGGUUUUUGGUUUAUCCGCCAAAUGAUUGGGAGAGGGCUCUCAGGUUGAACUGCGCAGCGUUGACUGCUGCACGACGGCAGAGAGAGAGGGAGAGGGGGGAUAAAUAAAUAGAGGCGCGCGGGCGGGCUUUUCAUGCCUAAAAUAGCAAAGAGAAUUCCUCGGGCGGCGCGCGGCGGCGCAGAUCCGUACGUUCCCGGGGGCAGAGCACUCCGAAUUUGGCGAAUUCCGCGCGAAACCGGCCGGAUUCGAGCGGGGAGUGCGCAGAUCGGGAUUGGGGAUGCGAGGGAAGCCCACCUUGGCUGAUCCGCCGUGGAGGCCGACGACGAGGCGGACCUUCUUCUCGCGGCGGUCGUCGUCGCCGGAGUCUUCGUCGGCGGCGGGGUUCCGGCGCGUGGAGGGGCGGCGCUGCUGGGGCGGGGGCGGGGCCGGUGGCUCCUCCUGCAGCUUCUGGAGGCGGAGGCUGCGCUUCUGGAGGUCGAGGAGCGAGGGGCGGCCCUUCUUCUUCCGCUUCCGGCGGCCCGGGGGAGGCGCCGACAUCACCGCGGCCGGCGGCGGCUGCUGCUGCUUGCCCAUUGCCCGCCCGGCGAGUACACUGCCCUUUUUUUUAUUUCGACGGGGCUUUACUUUUUUUUCUCCCUCCGUUGUGUCGCAGGGGGGUAUCGCGUGUGUUGGGGUGCGGGACGGGGCGGGGGUGGGUAGACUUUUUGGUGCGGCGGGGGCCGCUUCUGUGUUGGCUUUUCUUUUUUCUCGCUUUGCAGAGCACGUGAGCUGCGUGUGUUUCUGGGCCUUCUGAGUUCUGGCAGGGCGGAGCUGGGAGUCGUAUACUCGUAUACCGUCUACUCGCUGCUGUCAACUGUAUACUGAUGCAUGUAUGACGUACCCGGGCUGCCAGUCGGUGGCACCGUGGCACUCACCAGGAACGCGACGAUAUGGCACGUCCGUAUGGUUCCACACGGGACAAAUAUUCACUGCCCUGUAAAUUCACUUUCAAUUGUUGUGAAUAUUUUUGAAAAAUAGUUCCAAGGAUGUUCAUAUUGAUGUAAUAUUCAAGUUGCAAAUUUUGGCGAAUCAACAAGAUUCCAUCAACUGAUGGUUCAUGACGACAUUUGUGUAACUACUUGACAUCAUUAUCGCAAACUCAACAAGAGACCAAAUGUGAUGUAUUGAAAGGCAAACAACCAUUGCACCUCGUCUUCCAACAAAAUCGAUAGGUCCCAAUUAACAAGGAGUAACAAAUCCUUGGGCGGAGCGUGAGUCUGGUUGGGCGGCUCUUUUUUUCGGGGAAGUUGAGUUUUAUUGCUCAUGACCAAGAUUACACAACCAGUAGCCACGCAUAUUAGAUGGUAUAGUGGAUUGUUCCUUUCUAACGGAAUAUGGUUUUGCAGGUACCGACAUGAUCCUUAGGGAUGAGUUAGCUAGGAGCAGGAGCUGCCAUGUUACAACAUCGAGGAGUUUAUCUCAAUGUUUCGGAGACAAAUGUGUUUACAAACUAAAAAUGUGAGAUCUCUUAAAUAAGUCGUAUAUCUGAAAAAAGAGGAGUAUCAUUAUGCAAACAGAUUGUUGGAACGUUGCUAAAUGUAGUGGCAUGCAUGUAAUACAAAGUCCAUCGAGACAAGGCCACUUCAAAGAAAUCCACAGGCUGACGGGACUUGACGAAGAUUGGUCAAGGACAAAACAGAGUCGCAUUGCAUAUUAACAGAGUCGAUUUCAGGUAGAUCUGUUCGCCGCAGAUUGGUUGAACCACGUCCUGGUUACCAGAGUCACAAGGAUCCCGCUUUUCCUCGAAAGAAAAAAAAAUCACUGACUGCAAUACUUUUUUCUAAGCUUGCUUGACCCCUAAUCUACUGCUCUUUGUCUGCUUUUCCACCUGGGAUUAGCGCUGAUGUUGCUGGGAUAGUAGUAUUGAUGUGGAGGAAGUCCUUUCAGUUUCUGUUUCGGACAUUCAGUAAUCAAUUUCAGCAAAGUUCUCAACUUGCCGGUGUUUGGUUUCAGUAGUUCUCUGAUGCAGAGCAGUGAAGUUUCAGCAAAGUUUAGUACCCCCAGGUGUUUGAUUAUUAUUUUUUUAUAAGAAAGGUGUUUGAUUUGAUCGUACUAUUUGUAAUUGGUAGUUAAAGAUUUCAGGUGUUUAGAUUUACAUGCAUUAAAGAUUUAGCAAAGUGGAGUUCGAUUUCCUUCCACGGUUGUCUGUACUCUGUACACGACCUAAUUCUUAUGAUUAUUGUUUGCAUAUAUAUCCCUUCAAUUCACUCUACGAGAUACACUAGCCAGCAAUCGCACAUCCCAUCACACGGUGAUUCAAAGAAGAAUGACCUCUGGGAUGAUUCGCUACUCAUCGAGUUCAUAUCUCCUCGCUUUGCUUAUGUUCUUUUCUUCAAAAAAAAGAAGAUUUUAUCGACUUAUCGUAGUACUAACCCUACAACGUAACUUUCGCCCUCUGCAUCCAAAACGGCACAGCCACACUUACUGUUCUGAAGAUUGGCAUGAUACAAAGAGAAAUCCUAACACCAAUUUGGGAAUCUGUAGUUCCAAGUGGACAAUUAGUAUACUAAUAGAGGAAAGGUGCCAAACACACAAUUGGCGGAUAGAAGUUGAAACUACCGAUGGCCGUGCACUAAUAUAUCCCAAUAUACAAGUACAUCAGAUCAUCGGGGCGAGUAAAUUUCACAAAACCACACUUCGAGAAUAGGGUUUCAAUGAGCCACAAUUAUGACUAAUAGUCUCACAAAACCACACUUUUUCGGACAGAUCUUCACACAGAACCCAAAUCAGGUAAUUAAGAGCGUUUGAUGGUGUUUCUGACAAGUAGGACCCACAUGUCGGAUGCCAGGAUCGAAUCGGGAUUGUCCGGGUAGAUAGAGGAGCUUAACGGGUGUCGGGCAAAUGCUGACGUGGAUAAAAAAAGGGUUUGACCCGUCCGACCUGGCAUCCGACAUGUGGGUCCCACUUGUCAGAAACACCAUCAAACGCUCUUAAUUACAUGAUUUGGGUUCUGUGAGAAGAUCUGUCCGAAAAAGUGUGGUUUUGUGAGACUAUUAGUCAUAACUGUGGUCCGUUGAAAACCUAGUCUCAAGAAGUGUGGUUUUGUGAAAUUUACUCUAAGGGAGCUAUAAGACUUCUUCAUCAUGUAUUCGGCAAGGCUUAAGGGGCCGAGACGUCGUUUCUCAACAUUGUCGGAGAAGUCUGUGGUGGCAAUCUCCACUCUGCCGUCCUCAAGGUGAUGUAUGCGAAUCCCGCGCUUCUUCGACCCGCCGCCAACGUAGUAGAGGCAGUUGCCUUCAAUGGCGGGGAGAUUGUCGGCGUCGACAGACAGAGAGCGAUGCUUGCCAAGGAAGAUCGCACGGUUUCCGAUGCGCUUGACCGGCUGAUCCAGAUAAGUUUUACGGUCAGGACCAACCCUGAAGACCUGCACGGCGCCCAGCUGGUGAUCGGACAAAGACGGAGCGUUGUCGACGAGGAACGUGGGCAGCUGGUCCUUCUGAUCCGAGGUUCCGGCGACGACGACGGUGGUAAGCUUGGUCUGCAGCAUGUUACCGGAUGAGCACACGUCCACGGCCGCUACAGUUCCCUUCAUGUCGGCGGCGUAUGCCCGGCCUUGGAAGGCCACCGGGAAGGCCACCGUGCCCGCGAGCGAGAGUGACUCGAGGGUCGGCUUGGCGCGGCGGCCGGUGAAGGGGUUGAGGAGGAAUAUACGGAGGCGGCCCUUCGCCUCCAGGAGUAGGAGGCCGUCUGCUGUGGAGCAUGGGCAGGUGCAUCCAGAGGAACCGGCCCGUGUCGACGUGCAAGAAGAGGAGCCGGCCGUAGCGUUCCCGGCCAGCGGAUGAUCGGGCGUGAGUCGUCGGCUGUAGUUUGUGUCAUUGACGAUGCACGGGUCGUCGCCCGCGAGCUUGUCGAGCAUGACCCAUCGGUGCGGGCGGAACCGCGGGUCGUCGUCCUCGUCCGGGCCGCGCGGGUCGGCGGUGGCGGCGCGCCAGCCGCGGCACACGGCGCGGAGGCCGAUGUAGUAGUCGAUGUCGCUGGUGGCGAGGAAGACGUCCGCGACGCGGCUGACGAGGUCGGGCAACAGCUACGACCAGUCCGCCGCGGGCUCCAUUGUCGCCGUGUGCGUGCGCCUGUGGCUGCAAGAGUUUAUGGAUGGGCCUUGGCACUCGGACGGAGGAAGAAGCCAGAGCCGCCGUCACCUUCCGAGCGAUGGCAAACCCUGAAAACGGCCCCGCUGGCGUGGAGAUGAAGUAUGAAGGGGAGAACCGUCUUAUCCAGCUGAUUCCCCGCCGCGUGCGCCGUGGAAUCCGCCUGGAUCGCUGGGGGCGUUUCCAACUGAUCCCCCGCGGCCUUCCGUCGAAUCCGCCUGGAUCGGCCGCCACUUGGCAGGCCGCGAAGGAUCUCAGCCCAGGAAAAGCCCACGGCUCCAAGGCGCAAAUGAAAGAGGAGAAGAGAAAAUCGUGAGAAAACUCACUGGAGGAGAAAAAUGGCUAUAGUAAAAUUAGUGAAAUACCCAAUCCGGAAAAAACGUCUAGUGCUUCGCCUACUUCCUCAAACAAAAGAGACGCGCGAAGGGCAGAGCCUCAGCCACCCAGCAGUAAUAGCAGCCGUGGUGCCCGUUGAGAUUCCCCGCGCCGUUCCGUCGAAUCGAUCAGCCGCGCGCCCGGCGCCCCUGCACAUAUAUUAUACCCAAUGCCCACACCUCACAACCACUUGCUAACGCGCGCGGCGGUGACCAUGGCUGCGGUGGACUGGUCAUCGCUCCCCGCCGACGUGUUCCUAGCCACCACCGGUCUCGACUACUACAUGAGCCUCCGCGCCGCGUGCCGCCCCUGGCGCGCCGCCACCGCGGACCCGCGCGGUCCGGACCGGCGCUUCCAUCCCCGCCGGUGGAUCAUGCUCGAACUGAAUAUCCAUGUUUCAAGAGAUAUUGUUAACUCCAAAGCUUUCAAACUGAAUAUCCAUGUUUCAUCGAAAUAGGGUACAAAACUUUCGAGUUUGUGGAUGUUCAACCCAAAAUCCAUAACAUACAACGGUUCAGCCUAUUUCUUGAGUUGACAGUUCGCAAUUCCUAGUGGCAAUGAAUACAUGCUAGCUACUCCCCUUUAACUAAUGAAUACUUGGCUCGAAACCUCUCGACCAUUGAGCUUAAUGAGUCCAGCCGAGUUUGAUUUUGAACUGGUCAACGAAACAUUUGAGUCAAGCCGAGCAUAAUUCUGAGUUCGUUAAUAAAACAACUUUAACCACUCAAGCAACGAGCUACUCGUUUAACACCAUCCCCUCUUCUCCCCUUGGUCCAUGGUCCAUCCCUCUUUUUGACCUAACUCAAUAUCCACCCACAUUCCUUGACACACAAGCAAAACCACUCUUGACUCGCGUCCUCCUCUCAUAUGGCAUAUAUGUUAAUUUAUUAACGAUCGAGUUAAACAAACCAAUUUUGUAGUUAAAUUGAGUCGAGCCCAUGUCGCUUUUGAACAUGAUAUACUAUUAACGAGUCGAGCUAACUGUUGUAACUAGUGUGUUAUCUUAAUUGGUUCUACCAAUUCGAGCCAAGCUAACUACUCCCUCCGUUACAUAAAGAUUGGCACGGAUAUCCGGCUCUACUCACACGGACAUGUGGUCAUAAUGCAAAAGAUGCAAAUGAACAAUUCUGAACAGGAGAUUUGAAUUCAGAACCUUUGGUUAUGUGGCAUGUGCCUUUAACCGUGUGGAGCUAACAAUUUAACUUAAUCCGUAUUAUAAUCUCACGCACACUGUGCUUGAUUCUUCUUGCUUUGCUUCCCUUGGUGCGGGUGCACAUCUCAGAGCAUACGGACGGUAUAGAAAGAAGGUGCAGUGCGUCCCAGACUAACCAAACUUUUUUUUUGGCUAUACAAAAUGCACGGUUGUUUGUUGCACGCAACGACGAUUGUUCCUUUUGCCAAAGUAAAUAAAUAAGCAUCUCUCGUCGAAGAUCAUUAUUUUUCUAAUUCUCUACCUCGUGAAAGCUGGAAGUGGCCACGUCACCGGCAAAACUAACCAACGGUAAUAUCUCCCGGAAAAAUCCACCGAGCCAGCCCUUCGCUAGCGCCAAAGAAGUUCACCGCGCGCACGGCCAAAAUCCACGCAAGACCAGCGAAAUCUCGUGGUCUCCACUCUCUGCUCGCCCGGCGCGGCGAGAAGAUAAUCUCAUGGCCACCGCACGGCCACAUCAGCGAGCCACCGCAGCAUCCCCGUGAGGACAUUGACCCCACCCCAUCGCCCUCGGCUCAGACUCAAACCCAUCAAAAAUCCGGGCGCGCCCACGGUGCCAGCCACUCCGUGGCCAGAGCGCGGCCACCUCGGCAACCCCCAUCCGCCUUCCCGGCACCUCACAGCGCGCGCGCCAAUGGCGACUCGGCUUAAGAUUCCCCGUGGAUAAGGACUCGAUCGCGCGCGUUCGGGCCUCCUAUUUAAACGCCUCUCGCUCCCGCUUUACUCCACAGCAACAACCGCUCCAACACUUCAGUUCUCACUCCACAGCUCAGAGUCAGAGCUACUAGCAAUGGCAGCGGCGACCAUGGCGCUCUCCUCCCCCGCGAUGGCCGGCACCCCGGUGAAGGUCUCCAGGGCCACCCCCUUCGGCGAGGGCCGCAUCACCAUGCGCAAGACGGCCGCCAAGCCCAAGGUGUCCGCGUCCGGCAGCCCGUGGUACGGCUCCGACCGCGUGCUCUACCUCGGCCCACUCUCCGGCGAGCCCCCGAGCUACCUCACCGGCGAGUUCCCGGGCGACUACGGCUGGGACACCGCCGGGCUCUCCGCCGACCCCGAGACCUUCGCCAAGAACCGCGAGCUCGAGGUCAUCCA
rnacentral:lncRNA from 1 species